rnacentral:lncRNA from 1 species
GUAUUUUUUAUCUUUGCAUGGUAUAAUACAUCAAAUUUCUUACCCUCAUACUCUGAAACAAAAUGGUAUUAUCGAAAAAAAGCACUGUCACAUAGUAGAAAUCAGACUUAAACUUCUUGCACAUGCAUCUCUUCCUUCAAAAUUCUGGUUAGAAGCUUUUUCUAUGGUAGUAUAUUUGAUAAAUUGAAUCCCUAUUGUUUCUCAUUUUAAAAUUUUACCAUAGGACAAGCUUUUUAAAAGAUUUUCUAAUUAUUCCCAUUUACGAGCUUUUGGUUGCUUAUGUUUUUCUUGGUUUCGACCACACAAGUCCAAUAACUAGAAUUUUGGUCCACCAAAUGUUGUUUCUUAGGAUAUAGUACUAUUCACAAAGAGUAUAGAUGCCUUGAUUUAGUGAAAAAAAAUUUAUAUAUCAUGUCAUGUUAUAUUCAAUGAACAUAUUUUUUCUUUUUCAACCACAUCAUCACCUCAAGCAAGUUCUCAUAACCCCACUUCUACUACCGACAUCCUUUCUGUAUGGUUAUCUCAACUCUCUAUACCUACUGAUACUCUUUGGACCAUCAAUAACCAUACAUUCUCAGAUCAUUCUACAGGUACAAUAUGUCAAUCUCAAGAAUCCUCUAUGGCAAUAGUAUCGAAUUUAACUACUACACCAUAUGACAAUACAAGUAUUCCAAUUGAAUCCAUCCCACCAUCUCAACAUAAAACCGCUUCUCCCUUACUACCACCAUCAUUGUCCGUCACCAAACUCCCCUCUCAGACCAAUCGACCAACCAACCACCCUCAACGCACCCAUUCCAUGACCAUCAGAUCUUAAUCUGGUAUCUAUAAAUAUAAAAUACUAUACCAUACCCACCACCCUCUCCCGAUCGCCCUUACCAUGUCCCAUCCUAGUGAGCUAACACGUUAUACACAAGCCUCAAAAAGUCCAGAGUGGAGACGUGUCAUGGAUCUCGAAUUUAUAUCUCUUCAGAAUCAACAAACUUGGACUCUUGCCCCUGUUCAGUCGAAUAUGAAUAUUAUCGGUUGCAAGUGGGUGUUUCAAAUCAAAUACAAUCCAGAUGGAUCCAUCAGCAAAUAUAAAGCUUGCUUGGUUGUCAAAGACUUUCACUAAUAAUCAGGAGUUGAUUUUAUCGAGACAUUUAGUUCUAUGGUUAAAUAUACUACAAUUAGAAUUAUUCUUACAAUAACUUUGACUCACAACUGGCCACUCGAUCAACUUGAUGUAGAGUGUGCUUUCUUACAAGGUGAUCUUCAAGAAAUGAUAUUUAUGUCCUAACUUCCUAGCUAUAUUGAUCCAUCAAAAUUUACUUAUGUUUGUCAAAUGCGCAAAUCAAUUUAUGGACUCCUCAAGCUCCUCGUGCUUGGUGUGAAAAGUUCAGCUCAACACUUGUGAAUUUUGAAUUCGUUAUUUCACAAUCUGAUCAUUUACUAUUUAUAUAUCAUCAUGACGGUAUUAUACUACAUCUUUUUAUUUAUGUUGAUGAUAUUAUUCUUACUGGCAAUAACAACAUUACUCUUUGCAAGCUUAUUAUGGAACUUACUGGUUCAUUUUAAAUGAAGGAUAUGGGCUUACUGUCAUCCUUUCUUGACAUCAAAGUAGAUCAAAUGAAUAAGAAAAUUUUCUUACAUCAAUCCAAAUAUAUUCUAGACUUGUUACAAUGUACCAAUAUGCUUGGGUGCAAGCCAUGUUCAAGUCCUUGCUCUACCAAAAAGCUAGAUCAUAUGGAUAGCCCUCCUUUUGAUGAUCCUUCAUUUUAUUGGAGUAUUGUUGCUCUCCAAUAUGUAAUCUUGACAUGACCAAAUAUAGCUUUCUCAGUCAAUCAAGUCUGUCAAUUUUUAUAACAUCCAACGGAGGCCCAUAUGGUAGCUGUCAAAUGCAUUCUUCGAUUUUUUAAAGGCACCAUCACUUUUGGACUUCAGCUACGAUCGAGCUCAUUAAAUUUGAUUGCAUACUCAGAUGCAGAUCGGGCCAGCAGUUCUAUUGAUAGACGCUCAACAAAUAGGUUUUAUGUUUUUCUCAUACCUAAUCUUAUUUCUUAGAGUGCUAAAAAGCAAACAACAAUCAGUCGAUCAUCUAUUGGAGUAGAGUUUCGAUGUCUUGCCUAAACUGCUACUAAACUACAAUGGUUGUGCUCUUUACUACGUGAAUUGCAUAUUCCUCUCAAUUCUGUUCUCUUAAUUUGGUAUGAUAAUAUUUCUGCUGUCUCUCUUGCCUUCAAUCCAAUAUUCCAUGCAAGAACCAAACAUAUCAGGAUUGACUAUCACUAUGUCUGAGAAUUGGUAGGUCGCAAGUUUGUAGAUAUCAAAUUCAUCUCUUUUACAGAUCAAGUCACUAACAUUUUCACCAAAGGUCUCCACUCCAAACGUAUUCGAUAUUUGCAGUUCAAGCUUCACACUCAACCAAAUGUUAAGCUUGAAGGAGAUAAUAACAUGCCAUAAAUUAUCUCAAUUCAAAAUUUAAUUUUUGAAUUUUGAAUUCAAAUUGUUGUUGUAAUCCUUUUCUUAUUUUUCUCCUACAUUUUCUCCAUUCAAAUUUAAAUUCAAAUUCAAAUUUUGAAUUUGAAUUAUUACUAAAAUUAUUGCUGAAAUAAUUUUUCUUAUUUUCAUAUGUAAAUUCAAAUUCAAAUUUUGAAUUUGAAUUAUUGCUAAAAUUAUGAUUGUAAUUCUUUCUUUAUCUAGGAAUGGCAAUGGGUAGGAUUUGGAUCGAAAUUGUACUAUCCAUCUCCAAAUUUGAACUUAAUAUCCUAUACCCAAACCCUAUCUGAUACUCGAUCGGAUAAAAAAAGAGAUACCCAUCCCAAUAUCCAAUGGGUUCGGAGAUACUCAUGGAUAACUCAUUUUUCCAUACCCAACCCAUACCUGUCCCAUGCCUAUCCCAUAUCUGAAAAAAAUAAAUAAUAAAAAUAAUUUUAUACAUAUUAUCAAUCAAAAUAAAAUUAUCAAUUCAACAUAGAAUAUAAUUUAUAAGUCCAGAUUUAUAGAAAUCAAAUAUAGAAAUAGAAUUAUAAUUCAACAUAGAACAUAUAAAUAAUCAAAAUAAUUUUAUGUAUAUUAUUAACCAAAAUAAAAUUAUCAAAAUACAAUUAUAAACAUAUAUAUUUGGGUAUGGAUUCGGAUAUUACUUAUAUAUAUAGGUUCGAAUCGAGUUCGGAUAGAAAACAGCACUACCCACACCCUACCCAUAUCCGUGCUAUAGUUUUCGGGUUUUACCCAAAUCCGAAUCCAAACCCAAUUAAACCCUAUUUUUCGAAUUUGAUCGGAUUUGGAUAAAGUGCAUACCCGUUAGGUCGGAUCAAUUUUGCCAUCCCUAUCCUUAUCUUCACCUGUACAUGCUAUAUAUAUUGAAUAUAUACUCAAAAAAAUCCCAAGAAAUCAAGUGGGAUUUUUAGCCAUAUUAUUGUGUUUCUUAAAGCAAUUUACUCUACUUCAUCAAUCCGAAUGGGAUAUGUUUUACUUAAUUUGCUAUAGAUUUAGAGUGGAUAUGGGUCAUGGUAAAACCUAUUCGAAUCCGAUUUAAAUAUAUAUCUCUCUUUUUAAAUUUUUUUUAAGAUGAAAUAAAUUGGCUCAUAUAUAUAAAAAAUAAUUUUUAUAAUUUUGUAAAAUUCAAUCCACCUAAUCCGUUUGCAUUUAAUUUUACUCGACCUGUCUCAUCGUGAGAUACCAUUCAUUCUGCUUUGUUGAGACAAGAACGAAGUGGAUAUAGGCAAUGAUCUAUUUGAUCCGUAUUCAAAAAGCUUUCAUCAUUGUAGUUGUUUCAAAAUCUACUUCAAAAAUUUAUGAUAAAAUUUUAUCAAAAAAAAAAAUCCUUAGCUAAUAUUCCGACGGGCAUCCUAGAAUUUUUAUUCUUCUCUUUUGAACUUUGCUCAGAAAGGUAAAAAGCAACGUCAAAAAGCUUCAUCCAAAGCCAUCCACCACUUGUUUCCCACAAUGUCCUCCUGCGUGCUGUUUCUUCUAAAUCUCGUGGUCGGUGUUGCCAAAUUUAUAUUAUCCGUAAAUUUUUCUACCACCUAAAAUGACAAUGUACUGAAAAGUAAAAAUCGCCUUCUGCUGCAGCCUGCUUCUUAUUUAAAAAAAUAAUUUUUAAUUUAAAAUCUAUGCAUUUCCAAUAACAGCCAACAGUAUAAGAAAUUAUACCCUUCGAAAAUUAUUCUCCGAAUAUACGUUUUUGAAUGCCACCGAGAAAAUCAGGUACGUUCACCCGCGAAAAACUGCACCAUCGCGGCCGAUUCAAGCCAUCCAGUCAGUAGCGAACGCACGUUGCGGCGGAUAACGCGACCCUAAACUUCUCCGCGGAUUAUCAUAACACAACUAAGUACUGUGCCGCUGUCCCACUGCCUUUUAUGACAUUUCCGUCGGGCCUUCCGUUUGUAAGGUCCUUCUAUAUUUUUCCUCUCUUUCCUCCUCCACUGCUGUUGGAUUUUUUUACUCCAGUUUUGUCUUUUUUUUUUUUUCCUUGGGUCAGAUUGCUUCAGUGUUUGUAGUGGAGAGAAGAAGGCCGAUUUUUAUUUUUUUUUGGGAUUUUCUGAGCUCAAAAUGGCUGCAAUUUGUAAGCUUUCAGGAGAGAAAAGGUGAGAUUUUUUACUAUCAGAAUUUCCUCUUUCUUUUUUUUUUUGGCCUUUUUGGGCUUUUGGACUGGAAUAGAUUAAAGGGAGUAGGAGAUGAUGGGGAUUCCGCUUGGCUUGCAUGCACAAUUCUUGUUUUUUUUUUAAUUUUUAAUGAAGUGUUAGUUCGAGAAUAUAAUAAUUUAAAGGGGAGAAGUGGAGAGAACAGAGAGGAGCUUCCAGUUGCUUUCUUUGUCGAAUCUCCGGCUUUUCUUCUACUGAUGAGCUGUCCGUCCUUGUUCCAGGAGACUGUAUCGAAUUUUCAGCAUCUCCACCUAGUUGUUUGAUCUCUUUUGAUCUCAAAAAUCUUGGCUUACCGUCAAUCUUCGGAUAAUUUUACUAGUUCCAUCCCCAGAGGCCUUAUAAAGGUGGGAUUUUUGCUCGAUUUUUGGUUGAUUGGUGGUGUUUUGGAGUUGUGGCUAUAGCGGCAGCUAAGGAAGAGACCGUUCGAUGUGUUUUGGUGGUCGGUGAGGCUCAUGUGAUAGGAUGCAGCCAGAUCAGAGAAGAAAGGUGAAGUUUUUCUUCUAUCUUCUUCUUAUUCUUCUUGAUGUGAUUAAUUAAGUGGAAGAUCUUUUUUCUGAUUACUCGGUGGAACAUGUCGGUCUUACUUUAACUGUUACCGUCUUCUUUUGUCUUUUGUUGUAUUCUGUGGAUCGUGUCAGUGUUUUGUGAUGUUCCCCUUCGAUUUGGCAAGCUUUUGCCAUUUUUGAGUAUCUAUGUUGAAUAAAAGAUUACCUAUUGCUGAAAGUUGUGAAUUUUAUAUUCAGACGAUGAAGUAUUGCUUAGACAAACACGGGGAGAAUCGAGUAGGUGUGCAAGUUCAUUGUUUGAAUUAUUCUUUCUCCUGUAACCUCCUUUAUAGUUUCAAGUUUUGAUGUGAACGUUUGAAUAUUUCAAAUUUUCAAUGUUUUGUGUGAUGCCUCUUGUAAUGACUAUAAGACACAUGGUGAUGUCGUAUUGGUGGAGAUUGGAUGAAUUAUCCACGGUCAUCCAAGAAUAGUUUGGAUGUGGCGUGCUGAUCUAUGAAUAGGCCUGUCGCUUGCUGUUCCUCUGGUGACGACACUUCUGAGUUCUGACAAUGUUCAAAUUUUGAUCUGAUGGUGCAUGUUUCAAACAUGUGCAAUCAGUGCAUCUUGCAUGCAGACCAGUAUAUCUUGUGAUGAGGAUCCUUUUUUGACUUCUUGAUGUCUGAUGAAAGAAGGGGAAUUCAAUGCAAGACACUGAAUAUGUUUUGCUGUUUAUUCACUUGCUUCCAUAAGCUUUCAUUUGCUGUGCCUACUUGUUUUAUGUCAUGUCUCACUCAUCAAAAGUCUAGAAAUGGUGGCUCCUAGAUAGAGAAAUGAGGGACCUGUAUGAGGAUUGCAAAUAUAUCCUUUGAGAGCACAUUUUACCCUUGAUUAGAUAGAUAUCUUUUGGCAACUUCGGUGUUCCAUGAAUUUGGAAUCCUUGAUGAUUUGAUAAGUUUCCUUUGCAUGCUCAAGAUUGAUCUCUUCAUAUUCAUUGAGAGAUGUCUUGAGUCACACGGGCUAGUAAUUCAUCAUAAUUUCUACAUGACAAUUAUUUGCCAGUUGAUCUGGACUUGAGAGUAGAUGAUGACCUCUUUGAUGGAUUUUAGGUAUAAAAGCAUGUCAUUGAUCUUGUCACAGCUCUGUCAGCCAUCUAUUCUUAGGUGACUUGUUGGACAGUUGGAUGCCUAGAUGUUUUAUUGGGUUUCCAGAUUAAUACAUCUGAACAGUAUCUGAUAGAGCAUCAUGCAUUUAAUUGCAUUAUAUCUAAGUAUAAACAAUUGUGUUUCUAUAAUGAUGGAGUAUCUCAUGAUGGCACAUAAUGGCUGAUGAGAAUAUGAGUGUUCUUGUUGUCUUCUUUCUCUCUUUUAUACAUUUAAAUCAUAGUUGCUGCUUGUAGACUCACGCUUAUUAUGUAGUACCAAUUGCCAAGUGACAUUCUGGACUUGAUGACAUUGAUUAUGCAGGCAUCAGCAGAAGUAGACUUCUUCACAGAAUAUGGUGAAGGUAGCAGGUACAAGAUAGAAGAGGUGAUAGGAAAAGGUAGCUAUGGUGUUGUUUGCUCCGCUCUUGAUACUCAUACUGGGGAAAAAGUUGCUAUCAAGAAGAUCAAUGAUAUCUUUGAACAUGUCUCUGAUGCCACACGAAUACUUCGAGAGAUUAAGCUUCUCAGGCUCCUGCGUCAUCCAGACAUUGUGGAAAUCAAACACAUACUGCUACCUCCAUCGAGAAGGGAAUUCAAAGACAUCUAUGUUGUCUUUGAACUCAUGGAGUCUGAUUUGCACCAGGUUAUUAAGGCCAAUGAUGAUUUGACUCCGGAACACUAUCAAUUUUUUCUUUAUCAGCUGCUUCGAGGUUUGAAGUACAUACAUACAGGUGACUAAUACAUCUAUCUUUUGCAUGAUUAUUUUCUAUUUCAUUUGCUUUUUCAGAGGAUGCACGUGCUUACAUGCAGUGUAACCACGUUGUAAAUGUUCGGGGAUAUAAUGCUGGAAGCAUCCCUACUGUAAAGAUUAGUAGUGUGGGGAUUGGGGGAGUAUAAUGAAUGGUUGACAAUUCACGGUGCAGCAAACAUGAUUUAAUAAAGUACACAUCUCUAUAUCCAGAUGAACAUGAUUUAAUUAAGUACAUAUCUCUAUAUCCAGAUGAAUAAUCGAUGUAAAGCAUCCAACACUAUGACUUUUGAUUCAUAUGCUGGUUAGAGGUUUACGGGGACUUGUUUUCCUUGCCUGUUUUCAUCUUUUCUGCAUUAAGAAUAUAAGAUGGCUGUCACAUUGGUUGCUUAUAAGAAUAUAGGGUUUGAUUUAAGUUGACAAAGGACUAAACAUCUUAUAUGAUUGUGUCAUUAGUAACUGAAGUACACCCACUCUUCAGUCUUGCUGUCACUCCUGUAGUUGCUUCGAGGUCCUUCAUUGUCCUAAUGCCUUUCUUUUCCCUACAUAUUUUCAAAAUUGAUAUUCAGUCAUGCGUUUAUCAUUUAUUAUUUCAUCAUUUUUGAAUUUCUAUAUGGUGCAAGUUUUGAGAAUACAACCAUAUGAAUGAAUUAUAAUGUAUCACUUAAUCCUACACAAAGCUACGUAAAUGUUUCUGCGUUCAUUUAUUUUUUGUGCUCUUCAUUGCUACUCCCACUCCUUCUCUCAACUUAGACAACUAAAAAACUAUGACAAAAUACGUAAAGCUCUUCAUUGAUUAUUUAUGCAGGGACUUCUUAAAUUAGUAACUAUAAUUGUGUCUUGGUGGGUGAUAACAUCCUUUUCCUUUGUAUUCUUCUCCCACCUCCCCUUCGCUCGAAACUGUGGUGCCGCUUUAUUUUUUUCGUUCUUUUUCUCUUUCUGCUAUGUUUUGCUGUUGUAAUUUAGCAUGCCAAAUGUCUAAACACUUGCCUAUGAAUUCAAAGAUACUUGAAGUACAUAAUUAUCUUGUUAUCUGGAUAUGGUUUUCGAACUCAUAUAUAAACCACUUCGAAUGUUGUAUGUUGGAUUUUAUCUUGGUCUUUUUCUGGGUUACAAAGUUUUUUUCUGAUGCUUUCAUCCUCUAUGAAUUUGCAGCAAAUGUUUUUCACAGGGAUCUCAAACCCAAAAAUAUUUUAGCGAAUUCUGACUGCAAACUCAAGAUAUGUGACUUUGGACUUGCAAGGGUGGCCUUCAAUGACACUCCCACUGCCAUAUUUUGGACGGUAUUUUGUUUCCAAUUAAAUAUGGCUAGCAGUUUUAUGAAUACUAUCCUUGGAUCUCAACAUUCAUGGUAAAGUAGUAGUUUGAACAAUUGAAAUAACCUAAUUAUUUUUGGCUCUACUUGCAGGAUUAUGUUGCAACAAGGUGGUAUAGAGCACCUGAAUUGUGUGGAUCAUUUUUCUCAAAGGUCUGUGGACUUUAUUUGUCCUCCAUGUUAAAAAUAAAGUUCUAAUGUUACUUUUGGUGAUAUGGACUUUAUAUGAGCUAUCCAUUUGAAGAUCUUCUCCCUUCCUGGAUUUCAGUUAUUUGCUCUCUUAAUAUAUUCAUAAUAUCACUUCAAUCUGUAUUUUAGUGGAAAAUCUGUGAUAGUAUGUACUUCAACAAUUUCUUGCAAAAAGAAUCACCUUAUUGUUUAUAAUAUUGGAAAUGAAUGCUUCUCUAUUCCGUUGCAUUAUUGUCUUCCAUAUUGUUAGAUAAUUUGUGGUGAACCGUGCAUCAUGUCACUAGUUAUAUCUUAUUUUCAUAGAGUAUGUUGGAAAAUUACCAAAUAAUUCAGGAAAAGAUUGAUUUUAAUAAAUUCUGUUUCUGGUUAAUGUGAUUCUAAUGGAGUAGCACAAGAGAAUCUCAGGGAAAGUGCUAAGGAUGGAGGAAAAUUGAUGAUAUCCUCAUGUAUGCUAAGAGUAAAAUACCUAGACACUUGGCAUGGGUGCUAAUAAGGAUGCAAAUUCGGUGUGCUCUGGGAACAUUCUAAAUGAUUAAUAUGACUGGGUCAAAACUGGGACCUGAACUAUGUAAAAUUUUGUUGACUGGCUAGCCCAAGUGCAUCCCUUGUGUGUCCCCAAGUGUUUGACACCUUAAACUGUAUAAAUCUGCAUGAAAGGACAUUUCUCUCUGAUACAAAUUAUAAUAAAAAUCUAAAAAUCAUAGAAUUUGUUGAUGAGUAAUGCAAGUUGUCUGGCCAAUGACACCUUAGUUAUGGAAAAUGAACCUUAAAUUUGUGCUGUAAUAACAUCUAAGAAAAAAAAAAGCCAAAAACAGGUGUGACAGUUCACUAGAAAAUCUAGACACUGUAGUAAUACUGUUAAGUGGCAAUAUAGUUGAGAGUUCAAGUGUCACCCAGUAAAGUGUUCUUUUGACAGGAUUCUUGAAAAAGCCAGCAAGUGUCAACACUUCUAGUUGACAUCAGCAGGACAUUGUUUUAGGAGUGUUGUCAAGUGUCAAGUUUCAUCCAAGUAUCCAAAAGUAUCAGCACUCCAAAACCCCAGAAAUAGAAGUAUCCGGGUAACCUGGAUUAAAACAGAUCUUUGAGAAGAGAAAUGGAUAUGCUCAUUGAGUUUCUUGUAGAAUUAUGGGUGAGAUUGAAAAACUAAUUGAAAUGUUCCUCCGGAAUAAAGGGUCAGACUGGGAGCUGUACCUCGAACAUUACAAUAAGGUUUUGAGAACUAUGGAGAGCUAGUUAUCAAAUGAUUGUGCAAGUUUUAUGAAAACAUAUGAUGAAAGAAGUAGCUGAAAAGAUCUACAUUGGUCAGCUCAUAUGGGCCCAGUUCACUAAUGCUAAAUAUCGUGAUAAUGAAACCAUUGCAAAUCUGAAGAAGGAUUUGUGCAUAUAGAGGUUUAAGUAGUUUACUGGGGAUGGAAAUAAGAUAGUCAUAGUUCUGGAUCCAUGGGUUACUGAUAGACUGUUGGUUCAGUUGUUUUGGUGCAUAACUGACUUCACUGCUGUGGGUAGCUUUAUAGAGCUAAUCAGCUGUUAGAUGGAUAUAAUAAUUGGCAAAAGGAAAGACUGUCUGCCAUUUCACUUGGAGAAAGCUGAGAGGAGAUUACAUACUGAAGUUGCCAUGAAAAUGGCAAAAAGAUGUCUUGGGUUGGUUAUCGUAAAUUGGAUACAAUGGGAGAAGAAAAUCCUUAGAAUCUUUUUGAUUGAGGCAUGUAUAAUGAAAUCUCCUGUGAUUCCUUGAGUCAAGUGUACUUAUGGAAAGGGGGAUAGACUAGAUUGCCAACUAUUAAACUUUUUUAAGGGUUCGCUUUGCAUUGUAAUUGUAUGUUUUCAAGUUUCUUGUUGGAACCCAAACAUGUUAAGCAUGCGUUGAAGAUCUAGAAAAUGAUGGCAAGUUUUAAUUGAUAUUUGACCUUACAACAAAUACCAACAGGCUGGAAUGAUUUGAUCUGGCUUAACCUCAAAUGCAUAUUAAUUGGAUUCUAGUCAUCAUUUCCUAAUUGAGUUCAUAGUUUAGGAGUAGAAAAUGGGGUUCUGGGCGGAAAUUAAGAUGAAGAAUAAGAAAACAUGAAAGUUAAAACCAUGCUUCAAGUGCUGGCCUGUGCGGUCCGGCACACCAUGUCAAGCCAAUAUUGAUCCCUGGCAUGGAUUGGCAUGUCAUCUAUUAGGUGCCAUCAAUAACAAACAGCUUUUUGCUUGGUGCAAUGGUAAAGACUUGGGCUGACAAGUGCCAUGGCAUGCAUUUGAGUUCUAGGACAGCCACUUUGCAAGAAAAAAUUGCCAAAGAUUAGGUUUGCCUCCAGUUCACCAUUUCUUUUUUCAUUUUACCUUAUUGUUUUAACAAGGAACACCACGCACAUUUGCCUUGUGCCACUGGCAUUUAAAAUCCUUGGUCCAAACAGUGCUGUAGAUAAGAAUGACAAGAUUGGCAAAUGGGAUGGAAAGGACCAGAAGUAAAGAGAAUAUUUGAUGCAAUCAUGCAGAUAGGAAAUACUCGAGGUGGUUUAACUAAAAACAGAGACUGAUGCCUUUUUAAUCAGAAUCCGAAAAAAGAUGGUAUUGGAUUGAUUUCUGGAAAUCAAAGAUGUCAAUUUAUUAAUGGUGUUUGAAAAGUAGGAUUGUUUUGGUGAGUACCUUUCACUUGAUCUAGAAGAUAUGACCCCUACUUUGAUGGGCAAAUUGAGAUAGAGUGACUUCAAUCAUUGUGAAAGAGGGGUUGUGAUGCUGGCUAUAUUCUUGCAUACGGGGUGAUCUAUCAUGAGAGAUCUUGGUGGGUUAGAUAGAUUUUGUGAUCUUGCAUUAGAUUGGUGGAUUUGUGACUGCAAUCUUCUCUUAAGCUAUAUUAAAGGGGUGGAUGGUUGUAAGCUCCCAGUAAAGAGAGCAUCUUAUGCUGUGGGCCCUCAUAUGAAGUGUUAGAAAUUGGGUAUUUUUUUUUUUUUAAUUGCAUGCUUGUGUUUCUCUCUUUCUUUUGUUGUGAUGUAGUUGGUGGAUCAUGUGCAUAGCAUUGUUGAUAGUGUUCUCUGAUCUAUGAAAUACUGGUCGCGUAAUGUCACGAAGUAUAUGCUCCUAGUAUAGUGGUGGUUGUAAACAUUUCUUGAUAUUGAUAUUGCUCUAUGCCAUAGCUUUUGUUCUAUGUAUCACAAUAGUGCUACAGAAAAAUAAGAAUUAUAUUCCUUAUGUGAAAAUGCUUAGGCUCCUUUUGCUACAUUACCUAGGAAUGGUGUACCUUGGUUAUGUAUUGAUGCUAUAAAAUUUUGACAAUCUAUUUCCUUAAGUUCAUGGAAGCAUCUAUAUAUCUACUUAAUUUAUUUUGCAAUCUGAAUCUGUUGCAGUAUACACCAGCAAUAGAUAUCUGGAGUAUUGGCUGUAUCUUUGCCGAAUUGUUAACUGGAAAGCCUCUUUUUCCUGGAAAGAAUGUGGUCCACCAAUUGGAUCUAAUGACAGAUCUGUUGGGAACACCUUCUCCGGAAGCCAUUGCCAGGGUCUGUGUCACUUCACAAAAACUCUUUCACGUGCAUUGGGAUGCAUUUUUUAGUUUGUUGUAGUUUAUAAUAGCUUCAUUAAACUUUUCUUUACUUUCUGUAGGUGCGCAAUGAGAAAGCAAGACGAUAUUUAAGCAGCAUGCGCAGAAAAAAACCUAUACCUUUUUCUCAGAAAUUUCCAAAUGCUGACCCACUUGCUCUUCGUUUGUUAGAGAGGAUGCUAGCUUUUGAACCCAAGGAUCGCCCAACUGCUGAGGAGGUAUGGUUAGCAGGCUUCAACUGGAGGACAAUUAUGAGAAAUGAAGCUCUGUUUCUCCUUUACAUUGUAUUAUUUGUAUAGAACUAUGAUUUCUUGAUCUAAAGAAACUGAGUUUUGCUGCAAGGUGUCAGGCUUUGGCCGAUCCCUAUUUCAAGAAUAUAGCAAAGGUUGAGAGGGAGCCUUCUGCUCAGCCAGUUACAAAAAUGGAGUUCGAAUUUGAGAGACGAAGGAUAACGAAGGAAGAUGUAAGGGAGCUCAUAUAUAGAGAAAUUCUUGAGUAUCAUCCAAAGCUGAAGAAAGAGUUCUUGGAAGGGACAGAGUCAACAGGCUUCAUGUAUCCAAGGUAUUUAGCUAUCAUGACCGCAUCCUAAAACUUCGACCGUUUGAGUACCGAUUCCGGUUUCAAUUCCUUUGUGAUCAUAAUUCCUAGAAAUGCAUGCUGGAGGCUGGUAUUAGCUUAAAGUUAACUUGUGGAUUUCCAUAAUGAAAUUCUAAUAGGUCUCGAGUUUAUUACUUGUAUAUCUAUUCUGAACUUUUGAGGUGACUGACUGAGCUGUGGAAGCCAGUCUCUCCUCUAGCUUGGCUUGAUUAUAAUCGGGCCAAUCUCUAGCUAAUAUUAAUGAUAAUUUAAUCCUAACUCCCAAGCUUAAGGUUGGCUCAGCUAAUUUCAAGCUGAACUCAAGCACCAUGGCUUUUAAUAUACACUUUGAACAUAUCUCAAACAUUAGAUUAUAAAUGAACUUAUAAUGCUGCUAAGCACUUUUGUUUACUGAACUACAGUGAUCUCAAGUUAUUCUUAAAUAAUAAAUUUUAUUCUAAGUAAUAAUUUAGUUGAACAUAGAUCUACAUGCACAUUGGCAUGCAGACAUGCUUAUGCACACGCAUAUAAGGGAAUUAAAAACAGAGGGCCUGGCAAUCUCAAGCUAAGCUUGAAACUAAUUUGUGUUUAGUUUCAUGCUCAAGCUCUGCUCAUUUACUAAUCGAGGAAUUCUGUCAAACCAUUGGCAUGCUCAAGCUUGGCUCAUUUACUUUUGUUUACUGAACUACAUUGAUCUCAAGUUAUUCUUAAAUAAUAAAUUUUAUUCUAAGUAAUAAUUUAGUUGAACAUAGAUCUACAUGCACAUUGGCAUGCAGACAUGCUUAUGCACACGCAUAUAAGGGAAUUAAACACAGAGGGCCUGGCAAUCUCAAGCUAAGCUUGAAACUAAUUUGUGUUUAGUUUCAUGCUCAAGCUCUUCUCAUUUACUAAUUGAGCAAUUCUGUCAAACCAGCUAGCAGGCAACUCACUGAAUUGACCGCCAUAUGUUGGUUCAGUUUCCUAUUCACAUGUAUUUUUUUUGUUCUCAUGAUCUGAGGUUUCUUUAAAUCAUUCAUAUCUCAUAGUGAUGCUUGGGGGUUUGGUGGGUUGUGGGGGCAGGGGUGAGGUGGGUCUAUGGAUAUUAGUUGCUGGAAUUUCGAAUUUUUUCAAUAUUUCUAAAAUAUCCUUCUCGGCUUCCCCCCGCUUCCCGAAAACAAGGUGCAUCCGCAUCGGCUGCUGCAUCCACUUUCGGCUUUGGCAGCUAAGAUAGAGAUAACAUAAUUUAUAUAAUUUCUUCUGAUAGCCUGGAAUGCAACAAUCUUAACCUUCAGAAACUCCACAUGCUCAACUUUGGAUUCAUAUAAUUAAAGUUUUCUGGAACCUAGUGUAACAAUUUAAGACCUUAUCCAAAAAGGCUGGUCGGAAGGUAUUAUUUGGAAUCUUUGGUCCUGUAUUGGUAUCUAAGAUUUUUCCAGCAAAAUAAUCGAUGUGCCACUAAAUACAUGCUUGCACGAGUUCUUACGUACUCCUAUUUAAGCUUUGGCAUCUUCGCUAGGCUAAGUGUUCAAAUUCAUGCAAAUCCAUUCAUAAACACCACAAUUGGUCUGUGGUCAGCCUCAAUGAACAUAUGCUGUAGUAUCCCCUAGUCCACAUGGGUUAUGGGCUGGGUCAGUUUUGAUACUAUUUGAAACAACCUAGGAUCUUAUACAAAAAGACUAGUCGAAAGGUAUUAUUUGAAUUCUUUGGUCCUGUGUAAGUACCCAAGAUCUUUUCAGCGAAUAACUGUUGUUGGACUAAAUAUACACUCGCAUGGGUCUUCACACCUAGCUUUUUAAGUUGCAAUUUGUGCAAACUAAAUUGUAAAUCUAAAAAUGUCUUAGAGAAAAGUAUGCUUUUCACAUAGCAUUCAACAAUUUUUGCUAGACCAUUGGUUUCAAUCAUCUUGUUUGCAACAAUAGUGUUGCGCAAUAGUACACCAAUAAAUCUUAAUAUUUCUAUCUGAAGGUUUUAACUUCUGAUGGUGGCUGUGGGCACAUAACGUGUCAGUCCUGUGCUGGCACCCAGCAUGGGUCAGAAUGAACCUAAUAAAUUGUUUUUAUUUUUAUUUAUUUUUAUUUUUUUGCUUUGGCAUGAGCAAACAACAUGGCAUGUGUCAUGCUGGCAGGAUGCCACUGGCUUUAAAUACCUUGUUUCCAUGAAAAAAUUAGUUUAAAUACACAACCUUGUUUUCCCCCAAUCUUCUAUUAUCUUCAAAAUUAAAUUCAAACUAAUUUUGUUUACAGUGCUGUUGAUCACUUCAAGAAGCAGUUUGCUUACCUUGAAGAGAACUACGGAAGUGGUGCAACUGUUGCCCCACCUGAGAGGCAACAUGCAUCAUUACCCAGGUAUGUGAUACUUUUUUUAUGCUUGAAGAUGGUUAAGGGGAUCUGUUUCUAUGUGUAGGUGCAACUGAUUCAGCUGUUGUAUGCAUAGGCCUUCUGUUUUUCAUUCAGAUAACAAGAUGCUGAACUCAACAAACAUUACAGAAGAUUCUUCUAAACGUUUAAUCAAAGAAUCUGAGAAGCCAAAACUAGAGAAUUGCAUGGUCCCUAUAACAAGGGUUCCACUUCAAGUUCCCCAAAGGGUUCAAGGUGAAUAAUGAAGUGCUCUUACAAUUUUUCUUCAGCAAGAAAACCUGUUUACUCUAUUUCAAUACUUAUAUAUGUAAUUUCAUUUAGUGGGAAGCAUUUCAUCUAAUUGAUUGUGAAAGUGAAGAUGACCUUGAUAUACUUAUGAUUAGGCAUGUUAAAAAAAUAUUCAACUGGGAGCUCGCUCUCUAAAAAUAAUAAAUACUCCUUAAGAUUUUUUAAAGAACGAGAAAAUGUGAAUGCCGACAAAUACUUGCUCCAUCAAAGGGUUGAAGUUAGAAAUUAGAAGUGUCUUAUAUUUGGCCACUUAGCCUGGAAGAGCUAGCUGUGCAACAUUGAAACAACCACCAGCAUUAUGCACCUUUGAAUGGCCUCAGUUUAUGUGAAUUAUGCAAAUGGCUUGCCCCUUCAUGCACUGCAUUCAAGUAAUCUUAGUGCUACCCCAUAGUGCCCCUUUCCCUGAAUUUUACUUUCUCUAUGGUCUUUUUUUUCACAUUACUUGGUGAUCUGAAUAGGUCUUUUAUCAAUUUGUUAUCAUCCAUUACUUUACUUGUUUCUACCCAUCUCCUUUCUAGUUUUGCAAUGCCUUGAUCUAUGUAUCCUCAUCUCCACUAUCUGUUAAUUCUGUGACAUGACAUCCCCAUUGCACUCCUUCAAUACCAUCUUGCCUAUUCUAAUCUUUGAGCCUACCAUCAUUGUUGACCCAUUCCUUUACAUAUAACAAACUUAAGCUGUUAGGGCCAAAUGGUUAGUUAACAUGGUAUUAGACAUAUGGUUGCUGAAGGUCAUGGCUUUGAUAUAUGAAAAUGACAGGUGCCUCAUCCUUGGCAAAUAACCCAUCAGUGCCUCAUCCUUAGCAAAUUAUCCAUCAAAGCUGUAUUCCACGUUCUCUGUUUUAGUUUGGCCAUAUUUUAGCCCCUCAUUCAUCGAAAUUCGCUCUUGUUUGGAGCAUGUAUUUAAAAAAAAAAAUCCAAUUUGGAGUAAUAUCUGCUCUAGUCUAAUCCAUUUGUUAGGUGAAAAAGAAGGGUCAACAUCAUUCAUGAUUGGAUCAAUCAGACUGGCCUAGAAUAGUUUUCAAGAGCACCAAGUUGAAGCGGACGGGAGAUGCCUUCAGGCUUAGCCUAGGAGCUUGAGGCAGAUAAAGGAGCUUUUAGGAGUUAACUUUCAGCGUAAUGUUCCAUGAUAUCCUUGGAAUUCUGGUUCUCCUCAGAUUGGAAGCACUGAUUCUGGCAGCAACAUCAAUCACUAUAAGAAUGAUACAUCUGUCUUCAGGGAUCCAACUUGUUGGCAAAUGAAAAAUAUACCAUUUUAACUCUUAUGCAAAAAAAAAAACCCAGAAAAGAGGUGUCAUUAAGAUGAGCUAGGUAAGCAAGCAAGGGAGAGGCUAGAAAAGGUGUGGCGAGGCGCUCUCCUUCUCUAGGAACAUCAUGUUUAGGAUAUGGUGUUCCAAGCCUUGUAGAUGAUCCCUCUAGAAGAGUGGGAUUCUACCAAUGAUGUCCAGUGAUUUCAUUUUCUAGGGGGCUGUGAGAUAAGGAGAAAAAUAGAUGCGAACAUUUUAUGCAUACCAUCUUUCAGUCGUUCAUGCUUUUUCUUUUUAAGUGAGCUCUAUUUCUCUCUCUCUAUCUUUUUCUCUUGCUCUCUCAUGUUAAAAAUACUGUUCUUUUUAAUGUUGCUAGUCCAUUAGACAAGAAAAGAUGGAGGAAACAAGAUAAUCUUGUUAAUUGUCUUGCUUUUAGAUAUUGUGACAUACUUUUAGAUAUUGUGACAUAGUUAAGGAACAGAUGGAGAUUAACAUACUAAGAAACCUUAUUGUCUAGGAGUAUAACUGUUACAGCGCCUUCAAUUCACAAAACAUGGAUUUUUGAUGUUCUUAUUCUUUAUCAGCUUACUUUCGCAAAAUAUAUCUUAUGGAGAAAUUUCCUUUGCAUGUUUAUAAGAUGCAGUCUUUCUGAUGGUGUUAUGGAUGAAAAAAAGUAGAGCAUGUGUAUCUCGUCACGUCAUUUCUUGUCUAGGAGUAUUAGGUAUUGGAGCCUGUAAUUUGUUGUGGAUUUUGGUCUUUAAUCCUAUAUUUGGUUGGGCUCAUGAGAGGAUGGAUGGAUAAGGUUGGAAGGAUGAAUGGCCUCCAUUCACCGUUUGAUUCAAAAAAUUACAGCAAGGAUGGAUGAAAAAGGAGGGAUCGUCCAUCCAUCCAGGCCUACCAAUUUGCAUCCUCUCAAUUUGAGAGGAUGUAAGGAAGGAUGGAUGGAGUAUUAAUAGAUGGAUUUUUGCAUUGAUAAAAUUAUUUCUCAUUAAUUUUUUUGAAAAAAUUAAAAUAUUUCUUCAUUUUUUUAUUCAUAUUAUAUAUAUAUAUUUAUAUAUAUUAUUAAUCAUAUAUUAUUAAAUUUUAUUACUAAUUAUUUUAAUUUUACAACAUAAUAUCGAUAAUUAUAAUUAAUUAUUAAAUUAUCUUCUACUUCUCUAAUUUUAUUUACUAUUUUUAAUUAAAUAUUUGUAUAAUAUUAAUUAAUAUUUAAAUUAAAAUUAAAAUUAAUUAGUUGUGUAUAAUUAAUAUAUAUAAUUAAUUUAUUAAUAACUAAUUUAUUAAAUUAUGUAUUAAAUUGAAUUGAAUUAAAUUAAAUAUUUAUAUAAUUAUAGAUUAUAAUAAUUAUAAGUUUAUAUAUUGUUUACUUAGUAUAUGUUCGAAAAUAGAGGCUAAAGAGAGAAGAGGGAGAGGGACUUUGAGAGAAUUGGACACACCAAUGUGGUGGUGUCCUAUGAUAUUUAUACUAAUUGCAGAGAUUAAUACAUUGGCAAUUUAGCCAUAAAUCCCUCCACAAAUUACUGAUUAAUACAUAGGCAAUUUAGCCAUAAAUUCCUCUACAAAUCACUCACUAGGAUUCCUAAUAAUUAGAAAACUUUUCAUAACUAUAUUUCUAAUUAGACUAAGAUUUUUUAACAAAUCUGUUAAACAAAUCUAUCAAUCAAAUCCUAAUUAGACUAGGAUUCCUUAACACUCCCUCUCAAGCUGGAGCAUAAAUAUUAUAAGUUUCCAGCUUGUUACCAAUAUAUUUAACCUGAGAGCCACCUAAAGACUUAGUAAGCAGAAUGAUCAACUUCACACUUUUUUAAUCCAAACUCCGUAACCACAUUACUAAAAUGCCCAAAUUAGGCCCUUGGAGAUUGCUUGAGGCCAUACAAGGACUUCUUCAAUAUGCAAACUAACCCUGACUUUCCCUAAGCAUCAAACUCAGGAGGUUGCUCCAUAUACACCUCCUCCUGAAGAUCGCCAUGAAAAAAAGCAUUCUUGAUAUCUAAUUGGUGCAAAGGCCAAUGAAACAUAGCAGCAAGAGAAAUAGAAACUCGGACAGAGGUAAUCUUGGCAAUAUGAGAGAAAGUCUCAGAAUAGUACUGACUAUAUACCUGUAUCCCUUUGCCACUAACUGAGCUUUCAGCCUAUCAAUAGAACCAUCAGGAUGUACUUUCACAGUGUAAAUCCAUCGGCACCCAACAGCAGACUUAUCUAGAGGCAAUUGUAUAAGCUCUCAAGUAUCAUUUUCUUGCAAAGCAUGCAUCUCUUCCUCCAUAGCACUUUUCCAAUCAGGAUGAGAAAGGGCUUCUGAAACAGACUUAGGAAGAGACACCGUAGACAAAGAAGAAAAAAAUUCAAAAUAGGAAGGGGAUAAACGGUCAUAGGGAAUAAACUAAGAGAUAGGAUGCAUAGUACAGUUCCUUUUAUCUUUUCGAUGAGCAAUAGAUAGAUCCAAGUCACAAAGGGUAGAGGAACUAGGUAUCAGAUCUAAAGAUUGUGGAGAGGCGGUUGACGAAGCAUCUGAAUCAGAGGAUUGAUGAAGCACUUGACGGGGCCUACAAGUGUAAACUUGCAAGUCAGGACAAGACAAACUACUUGAAGAACUCAGAGGCAAGGGUUAGGUGAAAUAACAUGACUAGAUGAUGGUAAACACAAUUCCAAAUUUGAAGGAUUACGUUUUUCUGUAUAAUAUGGAGUAGACUCAAAGAAUGUGACAUCAACGCAAAGAAAGAAACGAUUCAAAGAGGGAUAAUAACACCAAUACCCUUUAUGAGUACGAGAAUAAUCAAGAAAAAUACAUUUGAAUGACCUAGGAUCCAAUUUAUCACGACUUGGAUUAUGAUUAUGAACAAAGGCUAUACAAUCAAAGAUCUGAGGAGGCAAAGAAAAAAGGGGCUGAGAAGAAAAGAACAUUAUAAUGUACCUUGCCAUUGAGAAUAGAGGAUGGCAUACGAUUGAUAAGAUGGCAAGCGGUAAGAACUGCAUCACUCCAAAAUGGUUUAGGAACAUUCAUCUGAAGCAUCAAUGUAUUGAUAGUUUUCAUUAUGUGUCUAUUUUUUCUUUCGGCCAUACCAUUUUGUUGUGGUGUACUGGUACAUGAAGAUUUAUGGAUCAUUCCAGAUUCUCACAUGGACGUUUUGUAUUCAUCAGAAAAAUACUCCUAUGCAUUAUCACUUCGAAGAAUAUUAACAGAAGUAUUAAAUUGAGUACGAAUUUCAGCAUAAAAAUCAUGGAAUAUGGGAAAUAACUCAGAACAUUCCUUCAUUAGAUAAAUCCAAGUUAUUCGAGAAGGAUCGUCAAUAAAGGUUACAAAAUAACGAAACCCUAACUUGGAAGUAACACAAUUUGGACCCCAGACAUCUGAAUUCACUAACAAAAAAGGACAAUUGACACACUUUUCUACUCUGGGAGCAUAAGAAACACGGUGAUGCUUCCCAAGUUGACAUGACUGACAUUCUAAAGUGGAUAAAUGACUCAAGUAUGGAAUUGACUGUUUCAAUUUUUGUAAGGGUGACCCAAACGGCAAUGAAUUUCAAAAGGAGUGCUUGUGGUUGAGCAAGCAACACUAGAUGGUAGUGGUUGAAAGUAAUAGUCCCCUUGAUUCAUGCCCUCUGCCAAUCGUCUUGUCUUCAAAUCUUGAAUAACAACAGAGUCAGGAAGAAAAAGAACUGAGCAAUUCAAGUGUUUGGUUAAUUUACUAACAGAUAUCAAGUUGAAUGGAGAAUUAGGGAUAUAUAAAGCAGAUGGUAAGGAAAAGGAGUGGCUAGGACUAACUGUGCUAAUCCCACUCACAGGUGCAGUGGAUCCAUUAGCGAGAGUAACAUGAUGAGAGUGGUGAGAAUUAUUUAUGGAAUGGAAGUAAAAAGACUAGAUGUACCUGUGAUAUGAUCAGUGCUGUAGAGUCUAUUAACCAAGGAGUGGGAGUAGAGGAUCGAGAAGGAAAGUAAAUAGUGGAUUUACCUAAUUGAGCAAAAGAAGCAGUUGGUUCCGAUGUAAGAGGAAUAGAUGCAUGUUGAGCAUUCUGAUACUGAAGAAACUUAGCAUAAUCUUUACGAGACACUGUCACCAUUUUUUGAACACUAGAAAUUGAAACUGAGCUAGUAGAGCAGCCGUAGAGAAGUCAGCUACUGCUUUGUUUGCCACUCUUGGCCUCAGUUGAGGAUUCAACUUGUAACACUGAUCCCUCAUAUGACCGCAUCUACUAUAGUAAUUACACUUGAGGGUUCCCUUUCCUCCUUUUCCACCUUUGUUCCUCUUAAAAUCAACUAUAGAAACAAGAGCUGAUUGAUCAGAGACUGGAUCACUGGCCAUAUUUUUUCUGGAAGAUGCAUGUAGGACUCUUGAGUAGGCCUCAACAAAGGAUGGAAGUUCAGACGCUCCCAACAUUUGUGCCUUUACAGGUUCAAACUCUGAUGGCAAGCCUGCUAAAAAUUUAAGGACUACCAUUUGUUCUCUCUGCUUUUGCAUCUUCCGGACAUCCACUGAAAUGGGCUGAAUCACAUUCAACUCUUCAUAGAUCCGCUUCAACUGAGCAAAGUAUUCAGUGACCGUCUUGUCUGCUUUUUGUAGCUGAAAAUACUUCAUUGACAAAUCAUACAUCCGGGUCAAAUCACUAGCAUAUAAUAAUUUAACAUAAUCCUAAAUCUCCUUACAAGUGUCUAUAUGUGUACGCAUAUCAGCAAUAUUCGGUACCAUUGAGUUCUAUAAAAGAGACCAAUUGAGCAUCUUCCUGAAUUCACAUAUCAAGUUUAGUUUGAUCAGUGGGAGGAUGUUCGGCCAAGUAUUUGUGCUUAUCUUGGCCGGUUAGAUAAACCUUAACUGCCUUCGACCAUUGAAGAUAAUUCUAACCAUUCAACUUCCGAGUUGUGAUUUGAGGCGGUAGCAUGGUCGAAACUAUCGAUUUGUUGUUUGUAGGCUCUCCCAUGGAUGAUAGAUUUUAGGUAAAAGAAUAGAAGUUUCACACAUUGAUUUGGGUAUGAAUAUAAGCAAAAAUCAGAUCCCAGCAACACCUCCAAGCAUCGUGGAUGAAUAGCACCUUGUCGGAUGAACAGUAGCCGAACAUUGUAAAUGAGAAAAAAUCACUGUACAACCCACCACCAAUGCGUGAGGGUGCGUGAGCUGGAGGCCGGCGAUGGCUCCUGAGGCUAGGUGGUUGGCGGCUCAACAGGGUUUGGUUUCUAUUAGGGUUGGAAAACCAGCUCUGAUACCAUGGUAGAAAAUAGAGGCUAAAGAGAGAGAAGAGGGAGAGUGAAUUUGGGAGAAUUGGACGCACCAAUGUGGUGGUGUCCUAUGAUAUUUAUACUAAUUGCAGAGAUUAAUAAAUAGGCAAUUUAGCCAUAAAUCCCUCCACAAAUCACUCACUAGGAUUCCUAAUAAUUAGAAAACUUUCCAUAACUAUAUUUCUAAUUAGACUAGGAUUCCUUAACAAAGCUGUCAAUCAAAUCCUAAUUAGACUAGGAUUCCUUAAUAGUAUAAAUAAGUGUUAUCAAUUAAUAAUAGUAAUAUUUUUAUCAAAUGGUGGUUUAGUAACAAUGUUAUAUAAAUAUCAUUCAUCAUCCCUUUCAUUCCUCCUAUACCUAAUAGAGGAGGGAAUCAUUUCUAUCUAUCCUUCUAUGUUUCACCAAACAUAUGAAAGGAUGGAUAGAUCUUCCAUCCAUCCUCUCCCUCGUCUAUCCUUCCUCCAUCCAUCCCUCUUUCAAUCCAUCCUUCGUACCAAAUAGAGGGUAACUAUGUAAUGCUAAUUCUUUUGAAACACUUAUUUCUCAGCUUCUCUAAUUAUCACGACUUCAGUUUGCUUCUAUUACUAGUCAUGGGCAAAAGCUUGAAUCAAAUUUGUUGACAAAUAUUGAUGCAUAUGACAGCUCAGAAAGUGAGUAUAUGCUGUGUUAAUUGAUCCGUAGCUGUUACUUGGAUCCACUAAAUAAUGAGCUAUAGUUAAAUGGAUUUUUGCAGCUUUACUGUGUUGUUGCAAUACCCAGCUUUACUUUGGUUGCUCGAUGAUGCAGAGCUUAUUAUGGAUAUUGUUUUGCAUGACAGGUGCUGGGGCAAGGCCUGGCAAAGUUGUUGGGUCUUUGUUGCAUUACAAUAACUGCACAACCUCAGGUCCUGAGCUGUAUGAACAGCGAAGGGCUACAAGAAAUCCUGCCAUCCCCACACAAUAUGCAUCUUCAUAUCCCCGAAGGAAUCCAAGCUGCAAGAGUGAAAGAGAAGAUGAGGGAAUUGAAGGAGCCAAGGCUGUGCAGCCAAAGCCUUAUGUUGCGAGUAAAGUGGCUGCAGCACAUGCUGGUCCUAGUAGUCAUUGGUAAUUGGUUCCACGAUGGAUUUGCAAUUGUUUCACAUGUUCUGACAUCAACUCCAUGGAGAUCUCAGCUAGUUUGGUUGUUACUAGAUUCAAUAAUGCUUGUGCAUUGUCAACUGUACAGACUUACUGUUGAGAGAUGAACUUUCAUUUAUUUUCACCAGUGUCAGACUGGGGAGGUGGGGUUUGAAAGGUUGUGAAGGUAGUCUAUCCAUGAUCGAAGCAUUUGGCCGGGCCGAGAUGGUUGUAAUAUAGCUUACUGACCUAACUGUUGCUGUGGUUCGGCAGAUGUUGAAUUUCAGAGUUUCGAAGGCAGUCUCAGCAUUAAACAACAAGGUGGGCUAGAUUGGGUUAAAAAGAUAUUUUUCUAAAGUUUUUUUUUUUUUCCGAGUCAAGUGGUCUGGACACUACAUUUGUUGUAUUAUCUUACAUUCAUGCUACUAGAAGCUGUUGUCACAUUUUAAGCCUGUUGCAGUUAGCUUGUUACUUUUUGACAUUUGCCGCUGGUCACUUUCUUUACACUUGGAACAAUUGAGAACCAUAACACACUUCACUUGGACAAUGCUUUAACAGAUGAACCUCCAACAGAGAGAGGCAGCAUAUUCCAUGUUUUAGGGGGUGGACGCAGCUGCGUUGUCGAGGAUAUCCCAUGUGUGGGUGAGGAGAAAUAGCUAAAUAGCAUUUUUAAGAGGUAGCAGUGAAGCAACUCUCUCUGAACCAGGGGAUUCUGAAAGCCUUGUGCCCGGGUUAGGCUUGGGAGCCUCUGCAUCCAUUUAUCUGGUUGCUAUAUUCACCUAAAAUGCUUUGCAGUAUCUUGAACUAUUGGGAAGGCUUUAAAGCUAUGAUUACAUGUACAAUGUGUAUGUGCACCACGCAGGAUAUCAUAGGGAUCCUCAACAUAUGUUUGAGCUAUUUUGAGUCGUAUGCUGCAGCUCUCUAAUGCGAUCAUGAUUAUGAUAGAUACAGUAUUGGUGAACUUGUGCAGCCAAUGUGAGAAACAAUUUUGAUUCCAUGAUAUUUUCUAAUAAGUAUGCAGCAGAAAAGUUUCAUAGGUGGCACAUGAAAGCUGUCCCUGAUGAUACAUCAGGAUUUGAGAAAGAGAAGCUUCAUCAAGAAGCACUGCAAUAUGAUACAUCUGCAAGAUAUUCUUCAACACUUUAAAAGCUUGGAGUUCUUGGUCUUCAAGCAGGUAACAAUGGUAGAAAUAGGGCAGUUGUUUGCUUGGGCUGGAUUUGAUCCUGUUGGGUUGAGCACAAUCUGGUCAGAUCAACUCAGGGUAAUGAAUCUUGUUGGAGUGGCUUCUGCAUUACUUCUUUUUGAAAGUCCACCUAAAUCUUCCUGUCUCUGCAUAAAUGGGCUAAAAAAGGGUAAAAUGGCCCCUCAAGAUGGCUGUGGGCUAUCCAAUGGAAGGUCUCAUCACUAUCUGUAACCCUUCAUAUCCUGAUGAAAGCAAUUAUGUGAUCCCAGCUUACUCGGUGCGUGCAUCAAAAAAUUUAUCAACUUAGUAAGCUGGCGCUUUCAGAAGACUUAUUAAACCUCGAAUUUACUACCUAGGGGCCAGGGACUUUACUUGCAAUGAAACAGGUGCAACAGGCGACUACCUCUGGUCUGUGUGGUUGAAGGCCUCCAACAACGCCAGACUAUAAAUUUUUCAGAAGCAACAUAAUUGAAUAAAUAAAACUUGAAAAGCUUCAAAUAUUUAUUUUCUUCAAUUUUAAGUCUUCUAGCUAGGUCUGGCAAGGGGUUGGAUUGCAUCAAGUCGGCAACAAAUCAAACUUAGGUAAUCCUCAACCAUCACACUAUCCUGUUAAAAUAUCAGUAGAAGAAGAGAAAAAUAAGAGAGAGAGGGAGAGAGAGAGGAUUUUAUUUCUCUGUUUCACAAUAUUGGAUCAUCUUAGGGGUUAUAUAUAUUAGUAUACAGAUUUCAUACAAGAAAAAUAAUAGAAGAUGAUGCAGAAUUAUGCUGAUAAAGAAAAAUAUUAUAUGAUUCUUAAAAUCAUGUGAUCUCUUAAAAUGAUGCUAACACCCUUUUUUCGCCCUCGAACUUAAGGUAAUAUUAUAAGUGCCAACUUGAGUUUGAAAAUUAGAUCACAAAUAUACUCAGAAGCAUGAAUGUACUUAGAAAUUGAUUUGAUGGAUUAGAAGCUGAUGUGAUAGAUUAGGAGCCGAUGUAUAUAGUGGCUUAGAAGCAAACACGGUGGUAAAUCAGGAGUUGAUGUGGCAACUCAAAAAUUGAAGUGAUAGAUCAAGAGCUGAGGGAGCAGCAUAGAGACUGAUGUAGCAGAUUAGGAGGUGUUAUAGAAACUCAGAAGCUGAUGUAGCAAAUCCAAAGUUGAUGUAGUAACUUGGAAGUAGAUAUUGUAGAUUAUGUCAAGCUGAUAUGAUCAGAAUAGAAUCUGAUACGACAGAAUAGGAUCUGACAUAGUAGGUUAGAAACUGAUGUAGUAGAUCAGGAGCUACUUAGCAGCUCAAAACCUAAUAUGCAAGAUUGAUGUGUCAAGUUAAUGUGACGAUAUAUAAUUUGACAUGAUAGAUUAUGAGCUAAUAUAGUAGCUUAGAAACUGAUAUAGUAGGUUAGGGAGCUACUGAUGUGAUAGAAUAGAAGUAGAUAUUGUAGAUUGUGUUAAGCUAUUGUGACAGAAGUGAGCAUGAUAUGGUAGAAUAAGAGCUGAUAUAGUGGGUCAGAAGUUGAUGUGGCAGAUCAGGAGCUAACUUAGCAGCUCAAAACCCAAUAUGGAAGAUUGAUGUGUCAAGUUAAUGUGAUGAUAUAGAAUUUGAUAUGACAGAAUAGAAGCUAAUAUAGCAGCUUAGGAACUGAAGUAGCAAAUCAGGGAGUUGCUGAUGUGACAGAAUAGAAUCUGAUAAGGCAGAAUAGGAGAAGACAUAGCAAGUCAGAAACUAAUGUGGCAGAUCAAGAGCUACUUAGUAGCUCAGAACCUAAUAUGACAGACUAAUGUGUCAAAUUAAUGUGAUGAUAUAGAAUUUGAUGGGUAGAAUAGGAGCUAAUAUAGCAGCUCAGAAAUUGAUAUAGCAGAUCAAGAAGCUGGUGUAGCAAACUGAUAUGAUCGGCAAUACUACUAUAGUUAACUAAUAUGGUAGAUUGAUAUGUCUACUAAUAUAGCUGAUUAAUAUGGUAAAGUGAUGUAUUUAUUAAUGUGUCUGGAUGACAUGAUAGAUUGAUGAGUUUGCCAAUAUGACUGAUGGACAUGUUUGAUAAAAUAGCAAAUUGAUAUAGUUGACUAACAUAUUUGAUGAUAUGGAUUAUUAUGUUUUGUUAAUGGCUGACAUGCUUUUACAUUACGAUGAUAUAGCCAAAUAGCUGAUGUGGUAUACUUUGCAGCUAGAUAGAUGAUGAUGUGGUAGGAUGUUACAAUUAAUCAAGGGUGAUGUAGCUAAAUGACGUAUCUUAUCUAUGCUAAGAAAACAUGUUUAUAAUUAUUAUUGCUUUAGAUGAUGUAGCUAUGAGAAGAUACAUAGAAGAUGGUGGUUAUAGUGAGGGUCAGCAUUUGGAGAGAAGGUAACUGAAAGUCAACGAUCUUUAUAGAGCGAAACCUCAUUGAAGAAGAGCAAGAGACCUCAAAUAGGAUCAUAAAGGAGCCAAAGAUAGCAAGUGAAACUAGAGACGAAGAAACAGAGACCAAGCAAUGAUGAGGAGAGAUAAUUGAAGAUCUGAAGCUGAGGAGAAAAGCAAUGAAGAGAAGCUAUAGAUCUAUUGUGGGGGGUUUAGUUCCACAUCGGUUGUGAGUCAGGUGUACUCUGUCUUAUAUGAGAUAGGAGAUAUUCUCUCCAUCAAAAGAUGUCUUUUGGGCUAAAGCCUAGGGGACAAAGUCAUGAGUUAAAAAAUCAAAAGAUCAUUGGAUAUUAAUCUAUCAAAAAAUAGAGGAUUUAUAGAGAAAUAGAGAUUGAUAAGUCGGCAAAAUGGAUCUUUAGGAUUUCUAAAUAUGGCAACGAUGGCCGCAACAAAGGUGGAAGAGAUGGUGAUAUCAUAUUAGGUGAUUGGUGGCUUUAUAUCAUGUUCAAAUAUCUGCAGAACAAGAAAAAUAUAAGAGAGAGAAAAAAAGACUUUAUCAUAUUCAGUAUAUCUCAGGAGUUACAUAUAGUAGUAUACAUACUCCAUACUAAAAAAAUAAUAUAAGCUGAUAUAGGAUCAUGUUAAUAAAAGAAAAUAUUAUGGGCUAAUAUGGAUUAUCGUGUGAUCCCUAAAAUCAUAUAUUCGUUUAAAAUCAUGUGAUCCCUACAAUCAUGUGAUCUUCUAAAAUCAUACUAACAUCUCCAUUAAUAAUUAGGUUAAAAAAUAUAAGUUUAUAUCUAACCUAUUUAUUUUAUAUAAAUCCAUAUUUAACCUAUUAACCUAUUUAUUAGUCUUCUUUCAAUUAAUUAUAUUUGAAAAAAAGGACCGAGAUGAUGAAGCAAUCUAAGACCGGAUUUUUCAACUAUAACAAGAGAGAAGCUAAUGUGGAGGAAAAAAAUAUGAUAAAUCUUAAACGUAAUCUGCAGUUUAGCUUUUGCUUCAUUGCUCUUUUUUUAUUUAUCUCUUAACCAUAACCAUUAAUUACAUGAUGCAUCUAAUCACUCAAUGUAAGCCUUAAUUAGCUUAUUUUCCACUUCAAUAUUGCUAUGAAUUGAAUGAUCUACAACUAGAUGCUAAGGUCUCAUCCAAUCUGCAUAAAAAAAGCUUCACGACACCUUUUCAUUCCCCACUCAGAGCACCAAAGGGGUGUUAUUGAUGAGCUGGUACAUGGCACCUGCCUAUAACCCACGUGAACUCCAUAAUGAGUUCUUAAAUCUAAACUCUACGUUCCAUCCAACCUGACAAAAUUAUAAUAUGUUUGUACCUAAAAUCUUUUUUUUUCUUUUUUCUAGUGGAUUUCAACAAGCUGGCAAGCCGGAACAAUAAUUGGCAUCCUUAUUGGCAGCCCGGAGGUUUUCUAGUGCGAUGUUAAAUUUGCUCAUCCCUCAAAAGCUAAUAUUUCAGAUACAUGAAAUAAUUAAAAAAAAAACUCUUAAAGCAUACAUCAAAAUAGUAUAACGAUUGUUUGAUAUUCUUACUUUUUAUUUUAUUAUUUAAUAUAGAUAUAGAGUUUUAGAGGAUUUAGGGUUGCAUACUUACGGCCACACCCCAGUAAAACCGGACCCUUUCUCACCCCGGUCUACAAAACCAUAUUAGGAAGGUGAAGCCGGUCGUCUUCAACGAACUCUGCCGCUUGGUUGCCGAGAGCGUUGAGGAGGGUACGAAGGGCGUCUCUGUUUUCAGAUUUUUCUCCAGACAUCAAAUAUGGUAUGCUCAAAACUAUUUGUGCUCUUGUUUACUCGUUAACGCAGAAUCCUCCUGAGACAUUCUAUCGAACGGUUCUCUCUCUUGUUUUUGUUUCAGCUCUUCUUCUCGUAUUUCAAGGAGCUGGUGGGGAAGGAAGUGACCGUAGAGCUGAAGAACGACCUUGCCAUACGAGGCAUCCUCCAUUCCGUGGAUCAAUACCUCAAUAUAAAGCUCGAGAACACUAGGGUUGUCGAUCAAGAUAAGUACCCCCACAUGGUAUUGUUCUGCCCCCACCCCCACUCCCAGUCCGCUUUCUUUUUAAUUAUCUAUUAUUAUCUUUUUCUGAUUCCCAGAUUUACAACUUUGCUUGCUUGUUGUUUAGGAUUGUCGGGUGCUCAAAAAGGUGCCGACUUGUUGUAUCAAAAAAAAAGGUGCAAACUUGGUGCAGAUAGAAUUAGGGUUUGGGAUUAUAGUUUAGAUCUUCUGCUUGGAGUCUUUUAAAGUUUGCAAAGAAACCUAACUUUACGAUGGGAAAACUAAGUGUCUCCGGAUUUGCUUGGAUAGCAGUAGAGAGAUUAGUUUUUUGCUUUAUGAUUUUAUGGGUUGUGAUUUGGCUAGUCAAAACUCUGUACGGUUGUUCUUCGUGUUUCUUGCUUUUUUUUUUUGGGAUAAGGGUGUUUCUUCUUCAAGGAUAUUCGAGAUGGUAGAAUUGGUCCGUUUUUCAUUAGGAUUGAUUGCUGUGGUGAAGAUCAAUGCUUAUUCAAGGCGAGAGUUCCAGCAGAUUGGCAAAGAUGAUCUAGGUUUGCAGGAGAUUAGGUUUUUGAAAAUAGUAAAAGAAAGAAAAAGAAAAGGAUACAAGAAUAUGACUUUGAGUAAGCUAGGGCAGGAUGUGAUUAAAGGCUGAGAGGGAAGAUGCAAAUGGAUGCUUGAUGAGGAGGAUAAGAUUAUAUAAAAGUUCUAUGGGAGGAUAUGAAGAAACUGGUUUUAAUGAUCAGCCUAACUUUAAUUUGAUGCAAGUGAUCGAAAAGGAUUCAGAGGCUAAUCUGAAAUGGUUAGGAUUUGGGUUACUGGUAAUGUAGGGUUUGGAAGAGAAAAUAUUAGUAGUUGUCGUAGAAUUUAGAAUCAUUAAUGUUAUACAUCCUAAUGCUCUUGAUCUUUCUCCUUUUUGGGCAACUCUCUUACCAGCCAACUAGCAAAAACUAGGACCAUUGGCAUCACCUAAGUCAUGAAUGAUAGUCAUUUGUAAAAUCUUGCUUAUUCCACUACGAAGCCUUCUUUUUGGGAAUUAGAGUUGUUUUUAUCAUAUAAAAAGAAGAAAUAGAAAAGAGGCAUCAGGAUUCUUGACAAACCACACAUGUUGCUCUCCUUAGUUAGCCUUCUUCACAUUUGCAAUCUGGAGUUCGAUAAUAAAAAUAAAAAUAUAAACAAAUCGAUUGAUGGACAUUAAAGUUAAAUUCCAUCCUCAUUACUACAUAAAUGAGAACUGAAAAAUUUUCAAGUGCCUAUAGCUGCAUCGGUAAACAUGAGGCAAGUGCUAUGAUCUCUCAUACUUCUUGACAGAGAGCCAUUUUGAUGGUCUAGCACUCAAAAUUUGGAAGUGACCUGAUCGAAAAUUUACUUUGGAUAUCCUCAUGAGAAACUUGGAACCCAGAGUUAGCAAAUUACUAUUUUUCUGCAUCUAUGUUCCAAGUGAGAGAGCACAAAAUUGCAGGAAGGAAGAGAAAUCAAAGAAUUUUCUCCGAAAGGAAUGCAAUUGGAAGGCUGUUUUGUAACAAUGCAUUAUUCUUGAUGAAAAUUUGGAAGCUACUUGGAAAUGCAAAGUACAACAAUGCCUUAGAUCUCAUCUGGAAUCAAGUUUCUGAUCUCCUACUAUUUUCUUCUCAAUCUCAGGAUUGAAUCAAUGAUUGGCAGUAGUUGUUCCUUGUCCGUUUUGUUACUUCCUCUGUUUUCCUUAUUUCUUUUUUCUCUCCUUUCUUCUGAUUUUCUGUUUCUCCUCCUCUUGUAAUUCUCUUACCUUUCCUCUUCCUUAAUAAAUUUUGGUGGGUACUACCCUUCUUUACCCCUCAAAAAAUAAAAUACUGCCUAUGUAUCCUGGAGUAAAUAAAUAAUGUACAUAUAGGACAAACUAUAGCAAGCCAUAGUUUGUGUAGCUCCUCAAAGUAAGGAGUCCUGUACUAUUUGGCUACACAUAGUUUCUUGUAUGUGAGACUGGAGCUUACUGUCUUUAUGAGUCUAAUUUUUACAUUAUGACAAAAAAUGGAGGAAAGAGAGGAAAAAUGGAGCAAGGCCUUUCUUUUCUUUUGUUUUCUCACUAUAAUCCACUAAACUUCCUCAUUUAGUUAUCUUAUUCCUACUUUUCAUACAGUUUUGAUCUCUGAUCCGUCUACAAGAAAACUGGUCAUACUCUGCCUUUUCAAUUACUUGGUAUUUCAAUAAAAUUUGCUCACAUAACAUUGUUUUGGCACCUGUUUUAGGUCCAAUGAGCCUAGGUGGUAGCCUAAAUACAUCUGUACUGUACAUGCAUGCAUAUAUGCAAUGCAUUAUGUAUGUACAUAUUUACAUGCAUUUUAUUUGUAUGUAUAUGUGUAGUGCAUAUAUCUGCUCUACAUUAUUAGGACUUCAAAUGGGAGUUUUCUUGAAAACAAUGAGUACACUUCUGCAUGAUAUCUGCUACAAAGCAUCGAGGACCACAGCCCUAAGUUUAAAUCCUAAGAUACAAACUUGGCUAAGAAAGCUACUUUGCAUGUUUGAAUGCUGAAAAUGUAGAUGCUUCAACUUAGACCUAUAGGUUAAAUUUGUCUUGCUAGCUAACUGCACAUAAACUAUUGAAAAACUUAUGUUCACCACAUUUUCUUGAAUGAGGGACAUCUAUGAAGGGAAAAAAAUAUUCUCUCGAAAUGAGGUGGAGUUUUAGUACUCUGGAUAAUUUAUGGGAUGAAUUUUGUUAAUUGGGUUAUCAAAGUUGACUUUGAAGGAAGGUGAUAUGGGAAAAUAAAUACCAAAUGGUAAAAAAUUAGUGCCCUGGAUUUUGAAAUGAUUGAUACCUUUCUGACAUUUGGAAAGAAAUGCUUUUAGCUAGGAAGAUUUUCUAAGAGGCUGACUUGUUUUUUUCUAAAAAAAAGAAUAAACUAUGAAUUCAAAAACUGCCAAAAUAGGAUGUAAUCCUUGAUGUUGUACCAUAUUGAUGUGAAACUGGCACUUGUAUGGGUGUUGGGAUGCCAAAACUCUGUACUGAUAUUUAUUGGCCGUACUGAUGUAUCCUGGGCCAUAUUGUUGCAUAAUAAUGGUACCAUACCGACCAUACCAGUGGAAACUGAUGAUUUUUCAUUCUUUUUGAUGCUGUUAGUUUUAGCGCAUACCAUGGGUAUCGAUACCAUGCCACUCUGAUGGAAUAAUGAUAUGAGGUUCAGUCUUGGUAUUCAAAACCUUGGAAUAAAGCAUAAAUCUUUUUCUUGUGAGAACAAAAUUGUUCCUCUAUUUGCAAUCUGGUAAAGAACAUAAAUUCCAUGCUGGAUUAGUUUUGGGAGGGUUGGCUCCAAUAUAUUGAUGCCCCAUGCCAUCAUACAGCUCUCAAUGAAGGAGAAAUGUUGGUUUGGUGGGAUGAAGUAUUCUUGGCAUUGGUUUCAGUUCUGUUGUACUUAUUGUUCAGAGCUUUUGCGGGUGUACUUGACUUAUAAGGCCAAACCCAGGUAGAUGGGAUAAAACUUACUAAAAUUUAUUUCUUAAAUGGCAAUUAUCACCACUUCCAUACUAAUCCCUUUAAAUGAUCGAUUGUUGCAUUCAUACUGUAUAAGCCGCAUUGUUUAUUUGGGAACACAUUGUCAAGGACCAUAUGAUCCAUUAAAUAUUUGCUUGAUCAUUAUGGCUAACCUUUUUUUCUAUGUAAAUGAAGAGAGAACAUAAUCAAUUUUGUCAGUAUCACAUCAAUGACAUGUCUGACCGUUGUGCUGGUCCUAAAUUUUGUAUGGAUCGGUGCUAUGUACCUUUACUGCUUUCAGUGUAGAGGUUUAUUUUUAUUUAUUUUGGGUAAUUGGCUCUUUCCGCCAUUGGCUUCUUAUCUUGCUGCCAUCCAACCAGUUAUAGACUGUCCUUCUAUAAGUUAGCGUGUACUUUGCCCAGAAUAGGGGAUGCUGCAAAGUCAGAGCUACACUCUUACAUCAUGUUUUUGUUCCAUAACUUCCAACUAUUGAUGCUUUCUUUGACUAUAACCACUGCGGUAUUCUGAGCACUCUCCGUUGUAUUUAUAUCAUUUGAUCCACAAGGCAUAUAGCUUUUUUUUUUUAAUAAAUCAUUAGAAAGGAAUCUGUAUUACUGUCUUUUGCUUUGAAUCAUUGUUUCCUCAUCCUUCAUUGUCGAAUGAAUCAUGUGGAAUGAUGAAUAUGUACAAUUGGAUCAUGUCUCAAGUCUUUGUAAGAUUUAACCUUUUCUUUUACUAACAUAGCAUAGAUCAUUGCGACUAUGCUUUUGCACAUCAAUGCAUUGCUUCUCAUGCUUUAUUUGUUAGUCAAAGUUACACAAUUUCAUAUCGAGAAAACUGCUUCCCAUGCUUUCAUUAUUUAUCAAAUUUUGAAGGCCUUAUGCUAUUUUGAAGUCUACAGAAUUUAAAUAUUUUCUGCUGUGCCUGUUAUUUUGCAGUUAUCGGUAAGAAACUGUUUUAUCAGAGGAUCUGUAGUGAGAUAUGUUCAGCUUCCUCCUGAUGGAGUGGAUAUUGAUAUUCUUCAUGAUGCCACAAGGAGAGAAGCCCGUGGUAGUUGAUAGUGUAGGCAGACUUGCCUGUUAUAUUCAUGGCUCUUCACUAAUGGCAUGACAAAAUUGUGUACUGAAGAAAAUGUUGACUCCACUUAAUGUUUCUAUUUAAGUUAUUUGAUGCUUGUUAUGAAUUCUUGCACCAAGAUACCUAUGAUAUUUUUAAACAUCGAUGUUUUUCUUGCAUUGUUCUUGGUCCUUGGGAUUGCAGACAUAAAUUUGAAGUCCUCAAUACCUAAAAUACUCUAUUGUCACUACCUUCUUUUUUCCCAUGUCUACAACCUGAGCAUUUUUAUACGCAUUUUCACUUGGGUGACAUGAAUCCACUUCAUCUGAUUAGGAAAAUAGUAAGUCCAUAGUCUGUUGUGCCGCUCUAUAGCAUCCUAUAUGGGGUGUAUUCUAUUGAUCUUGUACCAGUAUGUUGUCUCAUAUCAUAUUAAUAUUCAAUAUACUAUUUCAUAUCGUAUCGAAUUACAUACUGAUAUUGUAAUAGGAUGAUAUAAGUAUGAGAACCGAUAUGGAGACAGCGGACCUUUAGUGAGUUGAUGAAUCUAUAAAAUAGAUUUUGAUAUAUUGCAUCUGCUUUCUCAAAUCAAUCCUCCUUUGUCCUAAAGGACAUCUAGCUAAUAUAUCAUGCUUGCUGACACAUUUUAUUCUGUUUUUUACCCCAUUGCUACAGCCUCAACAUUUUCAUAAGCACUUUCACUUUAGUCACGUGAAUCUUCUUGUGAAGAGCAAUGCUUGAUGAACAAUGUGCAGGUGAAGCCUGCCAUGGAACAACUGAUAGGUUUAUGGAGAUGGAACUAGACUCUGCGAUUGCCAUUGGGAUAAUAAUCCUGGAUGCUGCUCUGAGGAUUUGGAGUGCCAAACGUUGCCAUUUAUGAAGCCAAAAGUUGUUGCAGGCUUGCAUUGCAGUGCAGGUUUGCCUGACGCGCAGUGCAGAUACCCUGGUUUCUGAUGCAAAAUAUAAAGGGAAAUGAAGCUUUAGGCAGAUCACUAAAUAAUAAAUCCUAGCUUCCAUAUCUAAUACGCUGGCCGAAAAAGGCCUGAUAUCAAAUUAGGCCUGGCCCACUUGAUCGGCCCAACAGCUUGGCUAGGCCCAAAAAGGAAAAUAAAAUUAAAAAAUAAUAUGCAAGUGGAAGAAGAAGUCUCCUGAUGGGGGUCUUCUUCCUCCCAAUUUCAUUGGAGGAGGCCAAUGCCAAAAGAAAUUUCGAUGCCACCUCCGUUUUAUUUAAGGACCCCUGUCCUCUCUACCAUCACACAUUAGAGAAUCCAAAGUUUGUUGGAGAGUUUUCUCUUCUCUUCUUCUCAUAAAUCCUCCUUUCCAACCUUCUUAGCUCAAGGAGCUUGAAUUCUAGCUGGCCAAUUGCGAGAUUUAGUUGAAAAAAGUGGUGCUCUGUUCCUUCGAUGUUUCCUUUGAUUUUUUUCAAUCUUCUUUUUCCUUUUUCUGAUUAUCUUUGCGGCCAAUCUUAGGGUAGGGAAACCUUAGCUAUGCUACCAUGGCCAUAGCCCCCGCUAGCCAUGGCCAUUCCAGUUGGAGCUCUCCUCUAUUUCUGUUUCACCACGUACUCGAGGAAAGAAAGGAGGAAAGAAAAAAAUAAUAAUAAAAAAUAAAGAAAAAAAAAAGAAGAAGAAAAGAAUCUCUCUUCUCUCUCUUCCUACUUUUUCUCUCUAAAAUCUAUCUCCACAUGGUUUUUUUCUCUACUAUGAUUUUUUAGGUCUUAGAUAAAGAUUUUCUCUCAAUGAUUUUGAUUAAUCCUGAUGAAAGAGAUCCUACUUCAUGGCUAUCAGCUGGCAUACUAGUUCCCACUCCGGCUAGGCCAAGCACCACUGGAUUUUAUCAUUAAUUACAUCUUGACAUCUAAGCAUAAUUAUUGAUUUAUAGUUGAUUAAUUUGGAUGUCCUAAAUUGAAUCAAUCGAGAUGUCCAAUGCUACAACUUGACCAGUCCCUUGAGGGGUCGGAACUUAGUAUCUCUAUUUUUAAAAUAAUUAUGAUUAAAUUUGAUAAAAAUAUAAUUUUUAUUAUUAGGUUCUGAAGAACAUCUCAGGAUUAGUUAGAUUUAUUUGCUCGUUGUUUAUAUAAGGUAAGUAAUGACAUGCCCCUUCUCGAUUUUUUAUUUAUAUAAUAUUAAUUUUAACAUCAAAUAAAUCGUAAAUCGAUUUACAUGCGGUUUCUCAAGUUUAUGAAACUAUGUUUUUAAUAAAAAAUUAAUGUAUAAUUUUAAAAUAAUAUUUCUCAGAUUCUUUCUAUAAUUGUUUACUAACCUUAUAUCAUAUAAGCAAAAUUUGAUUACUUAAUGAAACAUAUAUUAUUCUGUAAAAAGAAUUAGAUAAAUUACAAAAAUACCCCUCAAUUAUAAUCUAAUUUUACUUACAUUUUUUCAAUUUUAAAAAGUACCAAACUAAUCUUUUAAAUUUUCUAGAUAUUUCAAAAUGUUCAUGCUGUUCACUUACCAACAAAUAAUAUUAGCUUGCUAUUUUAAUGGAUGAAAAUGCCCCUCACUCUCGGAGGGAUCACUGAUAAGGAAGGGACGGGGUGGAGGAAGCCGUUAUGGAGGUGGAGAGCAGGGUCAUGGAGGUCAGUGUGGAGGGAAAGCAUGGCAUCAAAGGCCUUAUGGAUGAGAUUAGCGCAGGUAGACAUGGGUAUUGGACUAGGCCAUGCAUUGGGCCGGGCUACCUAUGACACGGCUCGACCCGACACAAAGCGGGCCGUGCCAAGCACAAUCUGCUUGCUAUAGUAACGAGCCAUGUUAGACAUGGCCUAUAUAGGGAGGUCGGACUAGGCCGGGGUUUUGUGGCCCAUGGCCUAGGCUCGACAUGGCCCAUAUGGGCUAGCACGACCCAUGGACUAAGUACAGCACGGCCGUGUGCCAACUGGCCCCCUUAAGAUGGGCUAUGCCUUGGCAUGGCCCAUUUAUAACUAUUAUGGGCCAUGCCAGGCACGGCCUGUAAUAAUUUUUGUAAAAUUUAAAAUAUAAUUUUUAUAAAUUAAAAGAAAGUUAGGGAGUAAAUAUAAAAAAGAUGAGAGGAUGUUAGAUUUUUUUAUAAAAAUAAAAAGUCACCUUGUAAUGGACCAAUGGUAGGAGAUUUGGUAUGGACCCCUAUCGAUUUAUUAAUAAAAAUUAAAAUGGUACAAGAGAGGAAAGGGGCUAGGCCUGACAUCCAGAAUAUAAUGGGGAAGAAAAGAAAUUAAGGUGACCCACCUCAAUAAUUAAAAGAUAAAAGAUACAAUUAUAAAAAAUUAAAAAUUAAAAAUAAAUAAUAAAAAUCUUAGUAAUCAUCGGUAGUAUUUGUGUCGUCAUCAUUGGAUAUUGUAUUUAUAGAAAUCUAAAUAUUUUUAUUUUUUUAAAUUAUCUCUAAAACUAGUAUUUUACGAUUGUUGGGAGGGAUAGAACUGUACAUAUUUUUACUUUUCCAAAUUGCCUCUAAAAUUAGCUUUUGGAGGGAUAAAAUAGUAAACAUACAAAAAAGUAACCAUUUAUGGCUAUUGGUGGGCCUAACUGGGACAUGGGUUAUGCUAGUCGCGUGUCGUGCUGUGCUUGGCACGGCCCGCCACCCCCUGGGCCAUGGGCCGGGCCAAGAUAGGGGGUUGGGUUAAACGUGCUAUGUCUAGAAUGGCCCGUUUAGUAAAUGGGCUAUGUCAGGCACAGUUGGUUAAGGCAGCGGCCUGGUUGGUGGCGAGCACGGCACGGCACAGCCCACUGCCGAAGUCUAAGAGCAGGAGGUGGAGAAAGGGUGAGAAAAAAAGGGAGGAGGGGGCACCAAUGAGCAAGCGAAGGAGGUGGAGGGAGUUGGAGGGAGAGGACUCAUGGGCGAGUUUGUAGGAAGAGAAGUGCGUGAAAAGGAAAGGGAGAGGAGGGGUAGCCGCAAGAAAGGGGCGAAGGUGUAGGGAGUCGUUGAGGAAGGAGAUGGCUCAUGGAUGGCUUGGAGGAGGAGGAUAAGAAGCAGAAGUGGGUGAAGAAGAUAGGGAGAGGGGGAAGAAGGGGUUGCCAAUGAAGAAUGGAUGGAGGUAGAGGGAGUUGUCAUGGAGGGAGAGAGCUUAUGGAUAGACUUGGAAGAGGAGCAAGAUAAGGAGAAAUGAAUGAGGUGGAAGAAGAGGAGAGGGAAGAAGGGCUCAUUAGCGAGGAAUGGGUAGAGGUAGAGAGUCAUCAUGGAGGGAGUGGCCUCAUGGAUAGAUUUGGAGGAAGAUGAGGAGGAAAAGUGAAUGAGGAGGAAGGAGAGAAGGAGAAAGAAUGGGUUGUCGGUGGAGAAUAGAUGGAGAUGGAUGGAGCUGCCAUGGAGGGGAAGGGCUUAUGGGUGGGCUUGGAGGAGAACCACAAGGAGAAGAGGAUGAGAAGAAAGAGGACAAUGGGGAAGAAGGAGGGAAAAGGAGGGAAGUCGGCGACGGAGGAGGGAAGCAAUCAAAGAGGAUGGAGGGGGAGGAGGUGGGGAUAAUGAAAUUUUGAUUAUUUUAUAAAAUGAUAAUAUUAUAUGAUGCUCAAAUAGUAUCAUUCGUUAAUGAAGAUAAACAAUAGAAUCAUUUUGAAACAUCUCAAAAACUUAAAGGGCUAAUUUAAUAUUUUUUAAAGUCGAAGAGUUAUAGGUAAAAUUGGAUUAAAGUUGAAAGGAUAUUUCUGUAAUUUAUCUAAAAAAAAUUGGAUAUAUAUCAGAAUCAGCCUCACUAUAUUUUGGAUGCUGCCGAUUGAGGAUUAUGUAUUGGUACUCUGACUAUUACUAAGAUCAUUGUUCUAUUUUUGACCCCACCAUAAGAUAUAAAUAUGAUAUCCUGGCCCAUGUCACAGAGUGUAAGUAUUGUAUUUUAGCACAUGCUACAAGAUAUAAGUGCAGUAUUAUGGCCCACUCCAUAGGGUACAAGUGCGAUUUUAUUCUAGCCUACCCACAAGAUAUAAGUAUGGUCAUGGCUAAUAAUUAUCAAGUUGUACAUGAUUUGUUUCAGAUCAAAUUUAUGAUUAUAUAUAUAAAUAUUUGAAAGAUAUUGGUUUUUCAGGAUUUAUGUUUUGAAAAAGAAUUGAUUAUAUCUUUAUUCUGAUUUAUGAAAAUUUAUAUAUGACUAUUGUAUCUUAUGUUAUAAUAUAAAUUAUUUAGUUAAGAUAUUUAUUACUUAUUAAAUUACCUAACUUAUUAUCUUUUUUUUCUUUUCAGUUUCAGAUAUUUAAUUCUGGAUAUGAGUACUACUUUAGGAGUAAAACUAGAAGCGAGAUUUGACAUAUUAGUAUAAUUUAAAUUUAGAUUUAUUAUUAUAUUUUAUAAGAUUAUUAAUUAAAAUUUAUAUGAUAUAAGGUAUUCAUUAUUUAUUAGGUUGUUUAGUUUAUUAACUCUUUUUUCUUUUCAGAUUCAAAUAUUUAAUUCUAAACAUAGGUACUAAUUUAGAAGUGAAAUUAGAAGCGAGACUUGAUAGUAUAUAGUUUCAAUUUAGAUUUAUUAUUAUAUUUUGAAGGAUUAUUAAUUAAGAUUUAAAUGAUGUAAGAUUUUUAAAAUAUUAUUUAUCAAGUGGAUUUGUUAAUUAAUUAAAAUUAAAAUUUAGUUAUUUAACUUAUUUCUAUUUUGAUACAUUUGAUAUUAUGUUGGAAUAUCUUGUACAUUUAUGGAGAGAGUUCUUCAUGAAUUUGUGGUGGUUGCCGUAAUUGUUGGCUCACGUUCUAUGAUUGUGGGUGCGACGGAUACUUAUCCUACUCUUAGGGAACCUUCAGAUGAACCUGAUCUCCCCCCUCGUGAUACUAACAACCCCAAGCAGGGGAGCAUCCCUUGUAUAUCCCAAGCCAAUUGAGUCCACCAGCCUUAAAUGAGUUGUUAUGUUUGAAACCUUAGACAUGUAGAUUAAAACCAAAACAUCAAAUGAACAAUAACUAAAAGCCUAAAACCAUAAGUUGGUCCAAUGGAUAAGUAGGUAACCAACUAGUCAUCAUGCUUGAAUCAAAGAAUAUACUGAAAAUGUCACUGGAGAGGUGCAAAUUGCCAUCCAACAUGGUAUAUGCCGCAUUCAUCUUCCAAGCACCAGCACUAUGGGCACCAAGACAAAGCAUUAACAAAAAUUGGUACAUGACAAAAGAAUGCUUCCAAAACCUCUAAGAAUCUUAUAUGCUUCCAAAACUUGGAUCCAAGGGAGCACUGAUGAAUGCCUACAAGUCUUCAUCCAGACAGAAGACAUAAUUUUCAGCUCCAUCUUGGACACUUGACUGAAGCCUUUCGGUAAUCACCUACUCUUUUUUCAAAAAAAUUGGCCUUCCUCAUGAUUAAACAGAAAAAAUAUGGCAAAGAUUAAGCAUAAUUUUGCUGCAUCAAGAGCUGUAAUGCAACAAAGCUCAUCAUGACUUCCACGAACACAUUCAUAAACAGUGCUGGAGCAAAACAAGCUCUCUCUCUUUUUUUCUUUUUUCUUUUUUUUUUCUCUUCUGAACCAAUAGAUGAUCUGCCAUAGAUUUUAUGUAAGGACUCGUGAGAUCUGAAUUCAUCCCUAUUCAUGCACAGGGAAGAGCCUCGCAAAUAAAAUUUCAAUUUCUACAGCAUCAUGAACAAUCUGGUGCACCUUUUGCCAACUCAAAGGUUCAAGGAGCAAGUAGAAAAGUUAUGAACAUCCAAGACUGGAUUGUUUAACUCUAUAAUUGUAGCAUUAUAUGGAAACUAUCUUGGGAUCAACUUGUCAACAACUCCAUAAAGUUAUGGGAAAGGGUGAUAGAAAAAAGAAAAUCGACAGCAUUUUCAAAUCACCAAUUUGGUUUCAUACCACAAGGUCAACAAUAAAUGCUAUUUUCUUCUGACAACUAAUAGAAAAUUUAAAAAAUUAGAGAAUGUCCAUAGAUGAUAUUAAGCAAAUUCAAUAAAGACACAGGACACCAAGAAAGAUAAUUUGGUGGGCUCUAUCCCUAUAGAAACAAGGUAUGCAUUAUAUAUUUAAUAUUAUCAAGGACAUGCAUGCCAGAACGAUGCCAAGUAAAUCAUACAAAUUAGUUAUGUUGCAUGGGAGAGAGUUGAAUAUUUAACUUGCCUUAUAUCAAUGGAGGUCAGGAACUUUUUAUUUGCACAUAAUAGGAGCCCUACAGUACUUUCUGUGAACCUUAAGUUUUCGAUAACGAUCUAUUUUUUCUAAAUAAGGAGCUAAGCAAUUAAGAGGGUUUGUUCAUGAGAGAAGGUUAUUAACUGAUACGUAGGUGUGAAGGUCGUUGAGGUGACCUAUAACUUAGUUGGAAGGAAAUUAUGCAAAAUUCACUUUUCUAAAUAAUCAGAUUGAUGUCCUAUACACAACGCAUUUUUUAUAUUAUAGUUAGAAAGGAUGGAUUAAAAAGAAGGGAAACAAAAUCUCACAGUGAAACCUGCCAUUAGAGUGGUGAAUGAAUCUUACAGGGUCUAAAUUAAAUAUUUGAGUAAGAAAUAUUUUAUGACCUUAUUACCUUCUAGCUAAUAAUUAAUGCGGCUUAUGUUCUUAAUGGUAAAAUUGAUAGGCAUAGUGCGUUAGCAUCUGUUGAUAUACUUGUAAUGAUAGUAUUUCCAAGGUUUCUGAGUAAAAUCUUUCUGCUAAGCUUGCUUAUAGAUUAUUAUCAUUACAAAAUUAUUUUACGAAUAGAGGAAUAGAUGUGAAAUGGAAAAUUUCUUUUUCCUUCUUUUUCUUUUUUUUGGAGAUUAGGAGGGGCUAAUUCCUUCUUUCUACAUUUUACCUACCUUACCACUUGAGGUUUGGCUUCAACCGAAAUUGAACACCUGUCCUCUUGCCACUUUAGAAAGAAGUGAUACAAUUUAAGGAAGUGCUCAGUGACAGAGAGUAACAUAGAGUACUGGUAUCUUGCAUAUGCAAUGCAUCUAAUUUAUUCAAGAGAAAAUAUAUUUAAUGGAUGCUACAGCUUAAGAAUCAUGAUUGAUGACUUUGCUGGUGCUCAUUCCCUUGCAAUUUCCUUUUCCAUUUCAGUUGUCUUAUAGUACAAAUGAGAAAUAGAGUGCACUCUGCAUGAUAGGAAAAGAGUGAUGUGGAUAAAAACAAUCCAUUCAACUAGUAGAAAGUAACAACUAAACAUGAGUAUUCUACCCAAAAAAAAAAAAAAAACAACUAAACAUGAGCAAGGAGGGUGAGUUGAACAAGUCAUGGGUGGAGACACGUGGAUCCCACCCUUAGGCGUUUAGAAAUAAGUGCAUAUAGGUAAACAUUUAUUUGUGCCAUAAAGUCAUUGGCUCUUAUUAGUGAAGUUAAUAGAUAAAUAGCUUAGUAUAAGGUAUGUUAUAUGCAUGUAUGAAAAUGAGAUGGGAUUUUACGUGCGAUCUAUUACUUCAAAGUCUAUUAUACAAAUUUAUUUAGAACUUUAAUAUCUUAGAAUUUGCAUCAUGAAUUAUUUUUUUUUCCUAAGUUGUAAUAUUUCUCAUGCAUUACUGUCGUUACAAAGUUGUUUUAUAUUCAAAGGUUGAAAAACCUCAAAAAAAAUUUGGUCCGCAUGGAUUGGAAGAAGUUUGGCUUAUAAAAUAUUAGCACUGCACAUGCAUUAAUCCUACGAAAAAUUAUAGUUUGACCUUGUCAAUUUUAGGUGAUUCUCACAUGUACCCAUUCGUCUUUAAAAAUUUUCAAAAUGGCUUCUCAAGUUUCUAAAUCAUUCCACUAUGGUCCUCUGACUCAUCAGCGAGCCAAUGUCGUCAGCCUGUCUUUCAUGUAACCAAAAUGCCCUCACCCUCUUGAAAUAUCUUCGGAAGUCCAUUUCAUUAUCCUCUCAAUUUUUAGCUUCUUUUCUCCCUAUUAGCCGGUGCUCAUGGACAUUUCGAACAAGCCACAAAUAAAUAUUAUUUUUUAAUUUUCAUAAAAAAUUAAAAUCCUCACUGGUAUCGAUGUACCAGCAUACAAUCCUCAUUGACAGGGUAUCGAUAUAUCAAUACAUAAUUUUUACUGACAGGAUAUUGAUAUAUCCAUGCAUAAUCCUCACUGGCAAGAUAUCAAUAUAUCCAUAUAUAAUCCUCAUUGAUAGGAUAUCGAUAUACUAGUGCACAAUCCUCACUAGUAGGAUAUCGAUAUACCAAUGUAUAAUCCCCAUUAACAGGAUUUCAAUACACAGGCUGCGAGUCAAAAUCCAUCUCGAAUCAAAUCUUUUUUGAUGAGAUCGAUUUCAUAUUUUAAUCUAGCAAUACACAAAAUCAUUCAAAAUCAAAAUCAAUCGGUUGUUAUUCAUAAUAGAAUCAAUAUCUUCAAUAAUACAUUAAAUAAUUCUAUAAUAAAUUUGAUAAAUAAAUAUCAUGCUUCAAAUUCAUAAAUUAUAAAUAAUAUAAUUCAAAAUUUAAUAUUAUAAAUACUGUAUAAUCUAUCGAUGAAUCUAAAAAGUGAAGUAUUACUUACCUCAUAUAUACUCCAACAAACCUAAAUGAUUCUAGAAAUUUUUUUUCAAAACCUUUAAUUAAUAGAUCAUAUCAUAGUAUCCCAACUGUUGGACAUCUUCUUAUCGAGAUGACUACACUCCUAUAUAAAAUUGAGUCCAAUAAUUAGAGGGAAUAUAGAUAAUUAAGAAAGACAUGAUGCACAUGUAGUCACAUCCAGCGAUGCUGGUCAGUUCAGUCAUCAAACUUCAUCUAAUCAAGAAUAGACUAGGAUAUGGUUGUUCAAUGGAUAUCGAAGGUGAUCAAUCAGUAGUGUCCGAUAAGAGCAAGGUGGAGGAUAGUAUGUCAUCCAAUAGUCAAAGUAGGUGUCGGCAUACUAUCCAACGGAUCAAAAUCAUUGAAAGAAAGUUCUUUACAGAAUCAAUCCUAGAGAAAAAACUUUAUAGCAAGAGAUAAUUCUAGAGAGAAACUUAUAGAAAGAGAAAGUAGGAGAAGCAAAUAAAGAGAGAGAAGGAAGAGAGAAGAGAGAGAAACUCUCUCUCUCUCUCUUCUUUUUUCUUUUUUCCUUUCUUUUNNNNNNNNNNNNNNNNNNNNUUUUUUUUCCUUUUCUUUUUUUUUUCUUUUUCUUCUUUCUCUUUCCUUCUUGACGAAAUAAGGGAUUCUGGUUCCCCUUCUAUUCUCGAAAUAGGAGAGCAUCAUCAACAUGGCUACGGCCCGUAGUGGUUGAGGCCACGGUGGCACAGUCAGCAAUUAUCAUCCGAUGGUUGGCAGUGACUAUUAGCACCAACAAAAUUGAAAAGAGUAGUGCAAAAAUAAAGGAAAACUAGGGCUCGAUUUCCUCAUUAAAAAUUUGACGACAACCGAUCGAAAACCAUGAUCUAACCACUAAAGAAAAGAGAGAAGAUGACUAUUUAAGAGAUGGAGGGGACUUUAUCUUGUCUAUGGUGGUGCUUGGCUAUAAUUCUGAUGGAAACCAUCGGGCGAAAACUCGCAAAAUCUAGUGUGAUUCCUUAAAGUUGGGGUCUCUAUCUCCAAUGGAAAAGAUAGAAACCCUUCUUUCCAUUAAAUAGAGCCGGACGGGGGGGGGGGGAAAUUGACUCCCUCCUGUCGAUUUUCAGCUUUGAUUGGGACUCCAUCGGGGAAGAAAACUCCCACCAGGAGUCUUCUCUCAAUUUUUUUCAUCUAAUGCUUUAAUAGUCGUGCAGGAUGAUUGGGUUGGUUAAGUGGACCAGGCCCAGUUGAUUUCGGGUUCGUUUGGGCUGGGAUAUUACACUACGGCUGCAUGAUUGAUCAUCUAGGCUGAGCUGGGUGCUUGAAAGAGGUGGAGCAGCUGAUCAAGAUAGUGAAAUUUGUGGGGGUAUGUUGGCUGUUGCUAGAACUCUCAAAAAUUUAAGAUUGUGGGGAGUGCUGCAGUGACUUUAGCAAGGUUGGAGCCCACUCGUGGGGCAGCAAGAGUACACCUGGCUAGUAUCUAUGUAGAUGUGGAUAGGUGGAGCGAAGCAUUCUUGUUAGAAGAGUGCUGCGGUCAAUCCCCUCGUCGUCCGAUCGUCUGGGAUGCGCACCUGUAAGAAAAGUUCUCACUGAUCGGAGAUGCCUCCGGUGGGGAUCCUCCGAUGGUCAAGUCAGAGAGGAAACUAGGUAACAGUAAAAAAAAUCAGGGGGCUCAACGAGAGGGAGAGAGCUCGAGAGCUUACCAAAACUGUUGCCUUACCCCGUUUUAUAGUGAAAUACGGUAUGGUCCUGCCAUUAAUGGUGCAGACAAUUGAGGAGUUGUCAAAUCAUCGGGGGCUGUCAAAUCGACGUGGGUUGUCAAGUCAUCAGGAUUAACCCAUGUCCUUGGCAGGAUAAUACCCCAGGGCGGUCGUACAGCAUGUCCUUGACAGGACAACAGUCCAUAGCAGUUGUACGGUGUUUGGACAGGCUGGCCGACUAUAUGUCGGUAUUCGACUGUCGGGACGUCGGGUGAUGACUCAAAAACACCAUCGGAUGAUCUGGUGCCUUGUGGAAGUCGGAUGUCGGCCGCCACCCCCGACAGUGGGUCGGUGAUAUGGGUUCGACCAUUCGGCCGGUUGAAAAUAGUAUUGAUCGGUUCGGCCGGCAUGCCUUCAAUCGGAUAUCAUCGGCAGUCAUUGUCGCAGUCGUCUGUCCGUCCGGUGGGUAGAGUCGGGCAUCGGUCGGACCGUUCCGAGGAUAAAUCGGCAUAUGGGGGUCGGUCGGUAUAUCCCAACAGUUGCCCCCCCCACUCCUGAGUCCGAUGUCGUGUUGGCCCACGUGAAUACGUGGGCGAUGGCCUCGGGCGAAAGGAGUGGUUUUCCAUCACGUCAUGCCCCGACUCUGGCGACCAUACCUCAUUAGGACGUUCGGUAGGAUCCAGCGUAGUCGAUCAAGGUAGUCAGUGGCAUGCGCCAUGCUAAGGGCAGGGAAGCCCCGAUCGCAGGCCGACGUCCCGACUGUCGUACAGGCUGCAUAGGAUCCAAUGGUCGAGAGCCGUCCCGACUGCAGGUCAAGCAUCCGUCACCCAGACCUUGGUCGGGCGUGCACGUUGGGCCGAGUGUCAGCCAUUCUCCAAACGUAGCUUGUCGACACGAUCAUUCCGUAGAAUCUGAUAGUCGAGUAGCGUCCGACGUAUUCGGUUAGGAUAACGAUGACAAGUCGAAUAUCCGUUGCCCGGACCUUGGUCGGACGUGCACGUCGGGACGUAUGAUAAACGGUGGCAAGCCGAAUAUCCUUCGACCAGUCAUGACCAAGUCGGUAUAUCGCGAGAGCGAUCGUGGUCGUCUUGACGUUUUGCCCUUCUUAGUCGAAGCUAAGUCGGCAAGUUAGCCAGCCGCAUUGAUCGAGAGUCGACUGUGGAAGGAGCGCGGCUUCAACUUAGAGAUAUUUCAUCACCAGUGCUGGCCUUCCGUUAGUGUAGACAGAACGAUCCUCGUGGGAGUUCGAUGUGUCGUCAGCAAUCGAGCCAUUGGUUCAACGAUCGGGCCGUUGGUUCGGCGAUCAGGCCGUCGGUUCGGCGAUCGAGCUGUAGGUUCGGCGAUCGAGCCAUCAGUUCGGCGAUCGAGCCAUCGAUUCGAUGAUCGGGCCAUCAGUUCGGCGAUCGGGCCGUCAGUUCAACGAUCGAGCCAUCGGUUCGGUGAUCGAGCCAUCGGUUCGGCGAUCGGGCCGUCAGUUCGGCGAUCGAGCCAUCGAUUCGAUGAUCGGGCCGUCGGUUCGAUGAUUGAGUCAUCGAUUCGAUGAUCGAGCCAUCGGUUCGACGAUCGAGCCAUCAGUUCGGCGAUCGAGCCGUCAGUUCGGCGAUCGAGCCGUCGGUUCGACGAUCGGGCCGUCGGUUCGGCGAUCGAGCCGUCGGUUCGGCAAUCGAGCCGUAGGUUCGACGAUCGAGCCGUCGGUUCGGCGAUCGGGCCCUCAGUUCAGCAAGCGAUCGAGCCAUCGGUUCGACGAUCGGACCGUCGGUUCGACGAUCGAUUCGAUACUUUUCGAGAUACCCUCAUCGUAUGAGGACCUCUAUUUCAUCCUUGAGUUGGAUGCAUUGCUUGAUGUUGUGACCGUGGCCCCGAUGGAAUCGACAGUAUUUUCUCCGAUCGCAGCCCUUUGCCUUCAGAGGCAGAGGCUGUUGUAGAUAUUCUGCUCCUUCGAUCUCCAUCAGGAUCUGCGCAUGAGGAGCAGAGAGAGGGGUGUAAGAGUCAUACCUGCAAUGCGUCAGUCUCGGACUCCACCGUCGGGGCGAUCUCGAGCUCCGUCGUCGGGGCGAGACCCGUUUAUCGGUCGGGGGCCUGCUGGGUUCAGCAGCAGCUCGAUUUUUCUUCCACUUCUCCUUUUGGCCCAUGCCCUCGAUCAGGCGCUGGUCGAAAGCUCCUUCGUCCAUGCGCAUAUAUUUGUACGCGCGCUCCAGCAAUUUGGCAUACAUCUGGGGAGGGUCUUGUCCAAGGAAUAUGUGAAUCGGGAUCCCCUUAGCCUCCUCUAAAUGGCCGAGAUAGCCAUAUCUUCGUUAAGGUUCUGAACCUCAAGUGUAGCCGUGUUGAAUCGGAUCACAAAGUGUCGGAGUGUCUUGUUUUCUCCCUGCUUGAGGGAGAAAAGACUGUCCGAGGUUCGUGGCGGUUUCCGACUGGUGCUGAAAUGGGCCACGAAAGAAUGCUCGAGCUGCGCGAAGGAGUGGAUACCUUCUGAGCAGAGGCCAGAGUACCAGGCCCUGGCAACUUUACGAAGUGUGGCGGGGAAGCCGAUGCAGAGAAGGGCAUCGGUUGCCCCUUGAAUUGUCAUGAGAGCCAUGUAGCUCUCCAGAUGGAUGAUUGGGUUGGUGGAGCCGUCGUAAGGCUCCACAUGAGGCAUCUUGAUCCGACUAGGGAUCGGUUCGUCGAGGAUAAAUCGGGAGAGAGGUUGGGUGGUCCAGAAGUCGACGUCGUUUGAAGACUUCUGACUAUCCGCCUAGAGUUGGGCAAGCUGACGGUUGAUUUCUUCGAACUUACGUUCAUAGUCGUCCAACCGUCGGUAUUGAGAAACCCCAGGGGUCGAACCUCCCGACGAAUUUGAGAGUGAGGCGGACGGUGUUCGCGAUCGCUUCUCCUUCCUCGCUCACUCCAGCUGAGAAGGAGAGGGACGUCGAGAUCGGUGGGUGUGGCACCGUGGCCGCCUCCCCCCUUCUCGAUGGGAGUGCUGAGACGGCUGCUCUUGAGGAGGAGACGGAAGUUGACGCGGGCGUCGGCAGCUGCUUCUGGACGGCAUAGGGUGCACCGCCGGUUGUUCCGCUGACGAUUGCGGCAACUGAGUCGGUUGUUGUUGGAGAUUUUUGACCGCAUCCGUCAGAACGGUCAUUUGCCGCACGAUCGCCGCGAUCUGUGCCUCCGUAAUCACCACCGGGUGCGGAGAGCUGGGUUCCUCUAUGGAGGGUAAAGGAGGAGCCUCUUUCCGACGGGAAGAGUGCCUCGCCGAUCCGAUAGCUUUCGAUCGCUGAGCCUUGAUUUUUGUCAUCUCGAGAGGUUUUUCAAGCUCUAUGGAGCUCACUGUCUUACCUCUGUCGACCCCUACCUGGCGUGCCAAAUCUAUUGCGGCCAAUCCCCUCGUCGCCCAAUCGCCCGGGACGCGCACCUGCAAGGAAAGUCCUCACUGACCGGAGAUGCCUCCGACGGAGAUCCUCCGACUGUCAAGUCAGAGAGGAGACUAGGCAACAGUGAAAAAAAUCAGGGGGCUCAGCGAGAGGGAGAGAGCUCGAGAGCUUAAGAGCUUUUCGAGAGCUUACCAAAACUAUUGCCUUAUCCCGUUUUAUAGUGGAAUGCGGUAUGAUCCCGCCAUUAAUGGUGCAGACAACUGAGGAGUUGUCAAAUCGCCGGGGGCUGUCAAAUUGGCGUGGGUUGUCAGGUCAUCAAGAUUAACCCAUAUCAUUGGCAGGACAAUGUCCCAGGACGGUCAUACAGCAUGUCCUUGACAGGACAACAGCCCAUAGCGGUUGUACGGCGUUUGGACGGGCUGGCCGACUAUAUGUCGGUAUUCGAUUGCCGGGACGUCGGGUGAUGACUCGAAAACACCAUCGGAUGAUCUGGUGCCUUGUGGAAGUCGGACGUCGGCUGCCACCCCCGACAGUGGGUCGGUGAUAUGGGUUCGGCCGUUCUGCCGAUUGAAAAUAGUAUUGGUCGGUUCGGUCGGAUAUCGUCGGUAGUCAUUAUUGAAGUCGUCUGUCCAUCCGGUGGGUAGAGUCGGGCGUCGGUCGGACCGUUCCGAGGAUAAGUCGGCGUAUAGAGAUCGUCCGGUAUAUCGCAACAGAGAGCAAUGCAGAGUGGUAGGCUGAAGAAGAUGCCGAAUGUGGUGGAAUUUUAUGAAUAAUUGCAUUGGUGGACUCGUGUCCGAGCGCUGAUGCAAAGUCUAUUUUCCAAUGAUGAUCAUAUUGCCUGCAUCAUUAUUUGGUUGGUCUGAAGUCAUGGUCAAACUGUGGAGGAGCAAAUUCUUGGGAUGUUGGCUAUUAAGAUGGAAAUUUGUGGUUAAAAGGCUUGAUUUAAUUAUCUAUGACAAUAGGUUUAUAUAUACUUCAUAUGAGAUUACAUCAAAAGGAUUGCACAUACAUGCAAAGAAAAUCUGCAUGAAUAUGUACAAUCUCGGCAUGAAGCAUGUAAUGAAAUUUGAUCAAGGAUUGGAAUAUAACUUGAUUGCAUAUCUAGCUAUAUCAUAGUUGGUCAUAUCUGCCAAACACAGUUGCAUGAUUUGCCGAGAUAAUCAAGGAGUGAUUUUCAUCACAUGAUGUUACAUAGCCGGCCAUAUCUGUUGAAUCUUUUUGCAUGAUUUUCCGAGAGAAUCAAGGAGAUUCUGAUCACAAGAGAUUGCAUAAUUUUCAUCAUUGGCAAGGAUGCUUCUGCAAAUUGUGGAUCAUCAGCAUGAUGCAGUGGAAUUGUUAAUGCUGUGCAACUCUACUACUUGUGCAAUCACAAGGGAUUUAAGCAAAGGGAUCAACAAAAUGAAGAAUGAGAUGAAAAGAAAUAGAUUAUUCCCAGUACCAUAGCCUUGGAGAAUCAUCUAAAUUGAGAUAUUUGAAAUUAUGAACUCAGUAAUGCCUUUGGCAGAUAAAUGCAUCAUACACUCAUAACAGAGGCAGGCUAUAACACAAAGCACUCAAAUUUACAGCAACAGUACAUCCAACAGGUGAACUUCUCCAUUGCAGCUCCUGCUUGAGAUUUGACCUGAUGCAUCAUCACUUUAGUACUUAGGAUUGGAUAGAAUCUUCGGCUUAUCAGUCAAUAAAAGAAGCAUAUUUGAAUUGGCUGCAUUUGAACUUAUAGUCUGUGAGUAACUUCCAUGCCGUGGCUAUAACUGUAAACUUCUUGCAUAGAGUAGGUGGUUUUGACACCAGCUGCUUUACCUUGGUGCCAGGGCAGGCCAAGAUAUUACAGUGAGCCCACCUGUCCCAGUCUACUUUCUUCAAUGGAAAAGAAUAUUUCUCUGGAUGUUAAUAUGUUUUGGUAUUACACAUAAAUUCCAUAAGGGUAUUGGUUUUCUGUUUUAUGUGUCAAAAUUAUAAAAUUUUGAAUGAUCAAAAAAAAUUGUUCAGCUAUUAUUCUCGAAACUGAUGGCUUCAACUGGAGUUAGCUAUGGAUGUUAACUUUUUACUCGAUCAAAUGUGGACUAAAUGUAACAGUUUUUUAGAUCUUGUUUGGACAUGGUGAUUGAAUAUCUGUCUAUAGUUAAGCAGGGCCAGGGGGUUAUUCAGCAUAAAUGUCGGUUAGGAUUCUUGAGGUGAAAGUUCACAAGUCUGAAAUAUUGUUUUAAACCAAGAAUGCCUCAUCAUGACAGUUGCAUUUGGUUCUAGAAUAAGGAAAAAAUGGAAGAGGAAUAGUUAUGCCUCAAGUUGUUCCUAUAUAAUUUUGGAUACAUUAUCUGGAAUAACUCUAGGUUCAAGUUGUUUUUGUUCAUUUAAAGGAACCAAAAGGGAUCUAUGCCAAGAAAUCUUUGACAACUUUCACUUGGUAGUCAUGCCUGCUGUAAACAAAUUUAGCUGAAAAAACUAUUCUUAUGCCUGUUUAGAAAAGCUACCUGUACUGACAACUUGGUUAUUUGCUUCUCAUCUCAGGGUCCAUUUCAAGUGCAUCAAAUUAUCUUAGAAGUAUCUCAUCUGAUAUUCUGUCCAACAGAAUUUGCUUUUGGCUACGACUGUAGUGAACCUCCGGUUCGAUUGUCGUGAUUUGCUUCAUAAUUUUGUUUCGCAGCUGUGAAUUUUGUUUUUUUUUUUUUUUAAGCAUAUCUAAGAAGGUAAGCUGCAAAUGAAGCUGCUUCAAGUAGUAGGAUUAAUUGCUUAGCUCAUGAAAACCACUGAAAUAUGAUAAUAAAGCACAACUGCAAAUGAACUUGGUUAUCAACCUCGUAUGAUAAUAAUGCUAGCGAUGCAUAAUGAUGCAAAGUGAAAAAGACGGCGUGCAGUCUAGCAGCAAUCACAAUUUUCUGUCAUUUGAUAUAAAGCAUGUCACAUACAUUGCUGCUGAGGUUGCUUCACAUACUUCUCAUAACCAUUCUUGAUGAGGGAAAAAUGACAAAAACACCAUCAGACUUAAAUGACAAAAAAACCAUAAAAUAUUCAAAUGCUCCCAACAACUUUUUAGAGAAACAUAUUUCUAAUUUUUCUUUUUUGGUCUCGAGGACUUUCCGGUCGCGAAACAAAACAUGUUCAAAGAUUAGUAAAAGCCAAGAAAAAAUCGGAUUCCGCAAGCGUUAAUCUCAAUUAACUGUAUGUACAGUGUUUCCACUGGAAACUAGAGAUGAAGUGCUAGGGUUAGUUCAAACCCUUGAGGCUCUUGCAUUUUCACAAACGUGUAAACCAAAUCAUUACAAACAUCUCAAACAAAACAUAUGUACAUGAAAUAUAAUGCACAUUUAAAGUGUGAGAGGGUAUGCUAUCAUUCAUUUGCCAAAAUCAUUUCAGCAGCUGCACCCAUUGCCUCAACUUUACCCAUCUGCAAUAGAGCAAGUGCAAGAUCUUCCUCACUCCACUGCCUCAACCCUCUGCUCAGCCUUUUCAACACCUCCAACUCCACCUCAAGCACCCAACAUGGUGCGCAUUCGACCACUAAUCCUAAGAAACCUGACACGUAUGCACGCCACAAGGCCCAAUCACAGCCAAGAGAGAUUUUCCCAUCCAAAGCACUUGCUAUGAACUCCAUGUGGGAUUCAAUGACCCUCGGUCGUCUCUUGGACACUGGUGUUGAGUUGAUGCCCCAGGCAAACAUCCCAGAGAGUACUGCAAAGUAAGCUAGUGCAUAGCCCCCCAACUUAUACACAAUACCUCCAGUCCCUCCUUCCUGAUCCAGAUCAUGCACGGAUAGAAACCAAGAGGGUAGCAUCUCUUGAAUUAGAGACUGGAUUAGACCUGAACCCCCCGACAACCACACCAAUGUUGCACCAAGUGCAGCUGCUACCUCCACCCGCUUCAUUGCAGAAGCAAGCGAGACCUGCCCAUAUCUCAUCCCAUACUUGGUCUUCUUCAGCUUGUCUGACCUCUCUUUGGAGACAAUACUUACUGCUAUCUCUUUAACCGAGAGCAUCAGUAAAGAGAGAAUCUCCUCUGUUAGAAGAACAAUGUCCUUAAUGCAUCUGUAGACUCGGAGGUACAGAACCCCUGGGGCAACAGGGGAGAGGCCACCAGUAAAAUGAGAACCAAACCCAUGGCCAAGAAGGCCACCAACACCACCAUUGCUGGAUAUCGGGCUGGAAGAUAGGCCCAGUGUUGCAGUGAAACAACUCCGGAGAAGCUGAACAACUGCAUCAUUGUUGUGGUGGAAGACAGUGCGUGAUGCAGAAAAGGUAAGGAAAUCAGUCCAACGCUUCACCUUUUGGGUCCACAAGGCUGCAACAAUCGGCAUGCUAGGCCAUGGACAACUUGCAGCAAGACUCUCUAAAGCUGGACCAGCAAGGUUGAGGAAGCGUUCAGAUGCUUUGUCAAGUUUGUAUGUGAUUGUGAGGCUCACAAAGGCUGCUAAAGGUAAUGGAAGUGCAGCGGGGAAGCUUCCUCCUACAGUCCAAAACAAUCUCUUCAACCCAUUAAAUUGAAUCCAUUCACCAUCAUAGACAAGGUUUUAUGUCCCGAUGGGACGGAGGGUGUCCCGGCCGUCCUGUCCUAUUUUUGUGAGAAAACGAUAUUGGGACAGGCUUGGGAUUCUGAAACCCAUCAAUGUAGGGAGAGAAGAAAAAAGAAGAAAGAAAGAAAGGAUGAAGAAAAGAAAAAAAAUGAAAGGAAAGAAAAAAUGAAAAAAAAGAAAAGAAGGGAGAAGAAAAAGACAGGAAGGUAGAGGAAAAGAAAGAAAAAAAGAAAAAAAGAUGAAAAAGAGAGAAUAGAAAGAAGCGGAGAAAGAUGGAGGAUAUCCAUCGAAAUGCAUGAUCAGGACUAUUGUUGGGACGAGACGGGACAACGAGGCAUCCCAUUCAAUAGAGAAACAGAGAUACUUUUGUUUCACGGGAUUUAAAACCUUAAUCAUAGAUAUGCAAGACAUACCUGACAAUUUAGUCAUGGAAGACAGACACAAAAGAAUGAAAAUUUCAAUUGGCUUUAUAAAGAAUAAUAUGUGAGAAUUUCCAUAGAAACAAGAAAUACCUGCAACAAGACUUGGAACAUCAACACCAGUGGCAGCAACAAUUUUCUUGAUAUUUUCUUCUACAGUCGAUAGAUUUGCAGCAGGGCUUGGCCAAUCAGUUCCAUUCAUAAAAGCAGGCUUCCAAACCCCACGUGUUACUUCAGCAGAAAAGUAGCUCACAAUAGUUGCAAGAGAUGCAGGCAGGAAAUCAGCCAGAUCUUUGAGGCCUAAAAAUGAGAUAAAAGUUAAAGUUGUAUAAUCACAAUCCAAGGUUUGAAACUUAGAUUUAUAGUAUCUAGCCUCCUAACUUACAUCAAGCCUCACCUUCAUGAUCAGAUAUGAGAUUCCCAAACACUUGGCAAUGAAAACAAAUUAUAUGCCAUUUCUCAGAAUAAUACAGAAAUUCACAAUAGGAACAAAGAAAGGCAGGUAUAUCAUCAUUUCUUUUGUAACUACUACAUUGCAAGAAAAUUUGGCAAGAAAUAAAAUACGGCCAACUAAAAACAAAUCGCUGAUGAUUCAAAUACUUCUAUGAGGUACUGAUUAUAACAAUUUGGGAGACAAGUCUUUCCAUCUCUAUUCAAGAAUUGGUCAAUUCUCUCCAGCAGCAAGGACAGACCACUAGUACUAUCAAUUUGGGAGUUGGUCUUCUUCAGCCCUCUCUCGAGCUUGAUUGGUCCUAGUUUUCUUAUCUACUCUUCUUUCACCACUCUCUUGAUGGAUAUUACUUUACCUUCUCCUUUCAAUUUUUCCCUCUCCUUUUCCCUCCUGAAAUUGACUUUUUUUGAUUUAAUGAAUAAGUGCAUUCACCCUCCCUUUCCCUCAAAAAAAAAAAAAGAAAAAGAAAAGGGGAUGCAUACACAGUUAUCACCGAUCUUCGUUCAUGCAUGCCAUAUCCAUUUCUACAAGUAAUAAAGCAAAAGCUUCCAAGGAGAAACGUAUAAACCUAAAAAGCAAAACCUUGCUAAGAAAAAUACCAAGCUCCUCAAGGUGCCCUGUCAACAAGUUAUAUAUGAAUACUAGACAUUGCGUUUAGAGCUUGAAUUCUAAGAACCUUGGGAACUGAGUGUACACACAAAGGUUUCAAUUAAUGAUGAAUACUAAGCAAAUACUCAAAAAGGAUUUCUUGCUAGAAAACAAUGAUGAAAUUAGUUAAGCUGAUAACUGGAAUACCGAGAGCAAAAUUCACAUCUAGAAGCCCAAAAUUGAGAGUAUUUAAUGUUUUAUCUCAUGCAACUAGUUGUGUUUACUUUCUAGUUUCUACAUCAUCUUGUAAUAGUCCAGUCACAUUUCUUAGAAGGCCAACUCCAGUAUAAAAUAUAAGGGGUAGAAAAAGCACGCAUGGAUAUCAGCAUCAUCAAUAUAGUAUCUCAAUAUUGAGACCUAGAUUUUGUAAAGACAUAGCAUAACUCAGCAAUUUAAAGCUUAUUUACAGUUAUCUUCUAAGGGUCAAAUAUUGCGAAUGGUAUGAUUCACUCAAAUCCUGUCAGAUUACUAAUCAUUAUUUGAGUUACCAAUCUGCAGGAUGAGCAAACUGUGUAAAAAGCCAAAUUCCACAUGAACACAAAAAAAAAAGUCUUCCACAGAAAAUCUCUUUAAUCUGGAAAUUGUCCUUUCUCACCCCCUCCGAAUCCUCUCCAUUCUCUAUGGGAAAUUAUGCCCUCUUUGCUCCAUCCUUAAGGCACCGCCCAACCUCGGUCGGUGCUUGUUCCUGUCAAAAAGCUAGCUCCAACCUCACCUCUCCUUUCAACCUUGGCUUUAGCAUUGCCAACCUCAUCAUUGACAGCAAUGUCCCUUCUGCCUCCCCUGCCACCCCACUUACACAGCCAUCACCACCAACCACCCCACCUCCACCUCCUCCUCCUCCUCUCCUCCCCCUACCUAUCCCACCUAGGCCACUACCUGAUUAUCACCACCAUCCAUCUCCCUCUCGCAACUCAACUGCUGCCUAACCACCACCAGCAGCAUCAGCUCCUCCUCCUCCCUUCCAAAUUGGGCCACAGUCGAACUAAUACCCACCACUAUUAUGGCUACUGCUUGACCCCAACCUCCCGCUCCUCACAUGUGCUCCCUGCAGACAUAUGGUCAAUUGAACUCCCUCGCUGGUUAAGGCUCUGCUAAAGGAACAAGCAGAAUUGGGAAGCAAGGGAAAAAACAUCUUUCCAUUUGUCCAAAUGCAGCCCAAAAUUAUAAAUUAGGGAUUUCCUUCAAGGCUUCAACCAUGGGAUUCAUGAAAGCAUUCCUCCAAGAUGCUACCUAGUUUCCUAUUCGAAUGAGAAACUGUGGGAGGUUUCUCCAAGAUACCCAAACAGGUCAUCAGCGCAUUUUUUUCAGGACCUGAAUUUCAAAAAUAAAUAGUUGGUUACUGGAAAUUGAACCAGCAUGUCAAAUUGCAAGAAUUUUAUCUUGACCAGAAUAAGUCAAUUUCUUCACUUGAUUUUAUGCCAAUCAGCUCAAGCUACAUUUUUAUAUAAGGAAAAUCAUGAGAUUUCCUGGGUAUGCUAUGGUUGAUUUAGAUGUAGUUUAUUAAAUACUUAAGCAUUGAACGGCAUUUUACUUUUACCCCAGAUUAAGUCAUUUUUAUCAAUCAAUCUUGUGAAAACAAGAUCAAAUUGCACGGUGAAGCAUUUAUGCUCAUAAGGUUUUGCAGUUUUGAGCGUCUAAAUGCAAGAUCUAUAACAAGAAAGGUAACUGCUAGGCCUAUUACCCUAGAUCAGCAUGACAUGAAAAUUGUAUCACAUGAGGCAAAUAGAGGUGCACAAGUUGCAUUGAAUCACAUUAUGCUUCACAGUUUAAUGCAUCAACUCUAAGAACUAGAUGGAUGCACUUCAGCAAUGAUACAAUACAUUAAUUUCCUUAAACAGAUUAACUUGGCUAAACACCUGCUAGAAUGAAAAGGGAGCACACAUGAGACAGUCGAACAAGAUCCAAUCUUCCAACAACAAAACUAGAAGAUACCAAUGUAUAAACAUAAGAACCCUAUUGAGAUACACUACCAUGAUCUAUAGGUACUUCAUAGUGAUAAUAAAUUCCCUCUACUUAAGAAGCACACUUAGAUAUGGUGAUAAACCUGGAACUUCUCAUCUUCCUAACUAGGAUUGUCAGAUAUACAUUUGGAAUUUCUAAUAUGACCAUGCAAACUCCAACAUAAGAAGCAUUUUGUUUAUAAUAAGAGUUUAUUCAAUCCUCUUGUCCUCCACAUACUCAUGAACAACCAACAAUAGCCCAUGAUUUUCUGGAGUCACUACGUUUAUCAAAUUUUAGGUUAUAUCACUUGUCAUGAUUUCAUCCAGUAAGUCUUCUAUACAGUAAACUUAGACCUUGAAAGACCUUAAUACAGUUGUUCCUUAACGUGAUGCAAACUGAGUCUAGAUUAAAUAAGAGGUAUUCAAAAAGACUGACAUACUAAAACUGAGGGAAUUUUUUGUGUUAUGUUUAUAACUGACAGAAGACUGAUCCGUAAAUUUGCUUAUUGUAGUAAAAAGAACAAACAGAGGUAAAUGUUAACAGACCAUACAAUGGGGUUACAUUAGUUUCCUGAAGCAAAUAACAAACCUGUGGCUAAUUCACGUGGAGAUAAUUUUCCGUGGGAACAAGCAGUAAGAGCAGCAUCAACCACAAAAGGAACAGCUUCCAUGAUGUCCCAGGCAGGCAGCUUAGGCCUAACAGAGCUAUCAUCACUUCCAGGUCCAGAAGAACUACUUAAACUACUACUUCCAGAUGUUCCAGAACCUAUGGACUGAUUAGUUCCCCUUUUGAUCUUCUUAAACAUCAUGUUAAGAAGAGCAUCUACAUUUUGAUGAACUGGAGUACCAUGAACAAGCCCAGAAAGAGUUGAUGCUAAACAAGCCUGAUGCUGUCGGUACCAAAUUUUCAACUUAGGAAAUGAAUCAACAAAUAUGGGAUGCAUGGAUGAUGAGCUUAUACUUGCAGGCAGUCGUCUCUCGCUGUUUCGGUUCUUGGUCACAUUGCUAGGUGAUAGUAUCUUAGCAUUACGCAGAAGUAGAAGGUAUUCAGGAGUUAGCUGUGACCCAACUGGAGCACCAUCCCCCAUUAUACAAUAUUCAAGCGGUGGAUGAUUAAACUUCCACAAUCUCAAGAGAAGAAUAAAUGCAUUUGAGAAGACUGAAUGGGCAGUAAUUUCUUCUCCUGUUGAAAGGGUCCACGAGACAUUAGGAACACAAGAUCCGAAAACUUCGCAUAUUGCCAUCAGUGCACCUGCAAGUUCGGGAACCUGGAAGUCAAUGUGUAUAUGAAUCAGAAAUUUGGCAAAUGUUAUGCUUUAAUGUCACAUAAUCAAGAGGUCCCGAAGAAAUAAUUUAAGCCUACCAGGCCAUGGAAUGAGAAGACUUGAACACAAUCAACACAUGAUAUCCCUGUAAGAACAACAUUAAGCAUUGGACUGUGGCUUAUUAAAUGGCUUUCACUCCCACAAUAAUCAACAGGAACGGGAGGUGAGAGCAGCUUCACAACAAAGCGGACAGUAUGUUCCUACAACAUACAGGAAAGUAAUUGUUGACGAAACUAUCUGAUAAUACAGUAAACAUGAGAAAGUAGCAAGGAUUGAAGUAUCGCAUGCUAAUGGCAUGCCAUCCUGGCUUGCCACAGUUAAUACUGUGCAAUAUGAAGUGAUGCUAGUGCUUGGCAAACAUGGCAUGCAUUGGCACACAGCAUGUCAGGUACAUGCAUGCGGCUGGUACUCAGGCAGGGCCAUGUGCCAGCAAGGCAUAAUUAUGGUGUGAAUCAUUCCAUGCCAUGCCAUGCCAUGCUGACCAGCACUUAAAUCCAAGGGCAGUAAGCCAGGAAAAAAAGAUGAAGACAUGUUAUAGUAAUAUAUAUACGAAUUACCAAUUUGUAGGGGAAGAUGAAAUUCAGAAAAGCAACAGAAAAAGACUCAUGCCAAGAAAAAAUUAUCAUUAAUUACCUGAAUAUUCCAUCCACGAAUAAGAGAAGCUCCACAUAGAAUGGUGGCAGCAGAUACCUUGUCAUCAUCUGAUCCACUGAUUGUAAUUUCAAAUAUCUUCUCAAGCUCUGCUAAACUUCCAUCAAAUUCAUGAACUCAAUUCAGUAGUUUAUCCCAGGCAAUUUUACAAAAAGAGCAUCUUACAUCCUGGCUUCAGGAAGAAAUAAGAUUUAUCUGAAGACCAGGAGUUUAAAAUUCACGAUUGAUUGGAUGAUAGAGGGAUAGAGGGGAGAGAGAAAGAGGAGGGGAGAGAGAGAGAGAUGGACCGAAGAAUACAAUCAUGUAUUCAGAUUAGAUCCAUAAUACCCGCCUACUUGGCAUACAUGACAUGAAAUUCAAGUACAAGUUCCUAGCUGAAGAAUAUUUUAUGUCAGGGUAUCAACAUGGACCAAGAUGCACUGCUUAACUAGCAUGUCAUUUUUUUUUCUCUUUUUUGAAACAUUAGGAUUCAUGAAAGGGUAUGCAAGGUAACUGCAGCUGGGCGGUGUGGGGAAUCCUCGUCAUAAGAACACUUAAAUGGCAUAUCUGAAGACCAUGUUCCUUGAUACUUAUCUUUUUAAUACUUAAAUGAAAAACCAAAGGACUCAAAAAUUCAACCAUGACAAAACAUUUUAGGAUUCUCCGAAAUGUAACAUGCUUCACAAUGAUGUGUGUUGUCAUAUACAAUCAGAGAAAUAGCAUAAGUUAUAUUUUAUAUUUGAAGAUCCUACACACCUUGAAGCGGGAGUUGCUGCCAAAGCAUUGAUCAUCGAUGUGGUUAGAGGUGCACCAUUCAUCAAUGCAGACCAUCCAGGCACUUGGGUAGGCAUAGUAGGAGGUAUUUGGUUGAUCUGUCCGUUGACGUACCCUGGCCAAUAAUAUGCUGAUGUCUCCAAUAAAUUUCGAGAAAUACAAGCCUCGACGAUCAAAUGCCACAUAUUUCCAGCUGAAAUAAGAUUUGAAGAAUUUUUUAAAAAAAUCAAUAAUCUUUGUUAUACUAAUCAAUAAUCUUUCUCAUACUAUUAAGUACAGAAGCCUACCAAGCUAAUGAAGAAACAAAUAUGAUGUAGAUAUUUUAGACAAAUAAACAAGAGAAAAAUGAUAUUAAAAACAAAAUUCAAAUUUACACCAUACUGAAAGUAUAACUUACUACAGUUUAUUGUUUUGUCAUGCAGGUUAAUGCUCUCAAGAUACCCAUUCCCAACUGGUAGGCCUGAAACAGACAUCAUAGCUUUUGCUGCAGCCUGAUUAGCUGCAGAGAUAACAGAUGGAGGAGGAACCAGCAAGCUCUCAUAAUCACCCAGUACCUGUAAACUGGAGACCAACUCUUUACGGCGCUUUCCGCCUACUGCUUUGUCGCUCCAUUGAUUAUUGUUUUCUGCUUCAUCAAUUAAACUAACUUCUUCUUCCUCAAUAAUAUCAGCGAUUGAAAGUGUUGUAAUAGACAGUAACAUGCACAAUCGUGUGUCAAGGUGAGGUACUGGACCCUCAUGAGGUUCUCUUUCCUAUUUGUGAGGAAAAGGAUAGAAAUAGUAUAUUUAUUACGGUUUUUUAUUUCGAUAUCAAAACUAUGCACAGGAACUUUGGACAUCAACCCAAGUGAGCUACAGGUUCUUACCCUCUGCACAAGACGAAGAGAAGCCAUCCAAAGGCCUAAAAAAGCAUCAUGCCAGCUCGUACCAUUAGCAGCUUGGAGAGCUUUGACCAAACCUGCAAUAGAACCAUUUAAUAGUGAAAAGAUAUGACAAGAAAUUCCAGGAAUUAGUGACUAACCAGCAAAGAAUGUCAAAGCAUGAGGAGAAUCUGAUCAUGGCAUAUAGGGGCAUCCUUUUACCACUAAGAAUUUCAAUGGCAUUUGUUGCUGCAACUGAUAAAUCAAUGCAGUCCUCAAGAUACAGAUCUAUAGGAAUCCAGAGUGCAGAAUGGCUAAACCCAUGACAGUAACCACCAGGAUAUUUUAGGGAUCCAGAAGAAAUAAGGGUGCAGAAUUCUUGGUGCCGACUAAGUUUGCAUUGUCUGCCAAAUUUGUUGCAAUUAUCCAGUACCAAUCGCUGCACUGCUUCUACAGUUAUUGUAGAAUUCCACAAUGCUGAUGAGUUGGUCGCAAGCAAGGAUAAGCUUUGAGUGAAAACUCCCCAAUGAGAGGGCCUAAAACAUUGUAUGGAUGCAACCAAUUGAAUAUCAUGGAAGCCAAACUUACAGUUUUGGAAAAAGAAGAUCCACUGAAAUAAGAUUAUCCAGAAAAGAUUCAUUCAAAUAAAAUAUCAACUGAAAUUAUCGAACUUUUAAGCACACAUCACAGCAGUGAUUAUUGUUGAUAGAAUUAAGGCACCACAUAGCUCAAGAGAACUAGACUACAUAAUAUGAUAUGCCCCCUAUCAUGUCAGCUCAUUACAGGCACAACUACAGGAUGCAAUACUCAGAUCCCUGGUCUAGACCAUUGAAUCAUUGAUCACAUCAAACCAGUCCCAAAUCAAAAUAUUUCUAAACAGAAGAACAGGUAAAUACUAUCAUGAAAUGAAUUAACUCAUGACAAUUACUAGCUUAAUCUUUUAGCUAACUUUUGCCACCUAUAAUGACUCACUAAAAUUUAUCAUAAUGAUGUUGGCUCGAAGCUAGAUUUCAAACGCAUGACUACACAAUGCUUCGUGACUAAAUAAGUGUUCACUGAGUUAUUAAUAGUCAUCUUAAAUUAGGAUGAGUUUUGCAAGUGAUGACUUCAAGGAUAGUUGUCCAGUGCAUUUCAAUUCAUAUUAAUGAUUCCUUCCAAUGAAACCAUGUUGGCAUUAUGAGUUGAAAUUUCUUUUUGGACAGUGCUGACAACAUUGUUAACCCACCAGACUGAAAAGGCUUGGUUCCCAUGGUUAUGACUUAACAUUUAUUCUUGUGCAUGUUCUCAUAUAGAUUUUGAACUGCCUUCCUCAAAACCCUCCAUGUCAGCAGAACUCUCUUCCAACUUAUAUUUUCCACUAUAAAACUGAUCCAAAAAAAUAGCUCUAAGCAUCAAUGAAGAACAUCCUCUUCUUCGUGUCAUUCUACUUUCCAGUGAUGUAGACACUAAUCUAUGAUCAAAGAGAAGGAUAGUCUUGCAUGAACCUUUCAUUCCUCAACUCUGUUAUAUACGUCACAGACUCCACCAUCAGUAGUUGGGGACAAUUAUUUUUGGGUCUCCCAUGUGUCAGACCACACUGCAUUAUGAUAAGAACUGAGAAAUACAAUUUUUCCAUGUAUAGAUCACAACAAAUAACAAAGAAUGAAAGUCACCAGAUGUCAUGUGUCAUCAUUGUGGUCUACUAUUUCAAGUCAUACAAGCCAAUAUUUCCCCAUCACAUGAUACUGACCCAGCAAUUACCCACUUGGUCAGUCAUCAUUUCCCUACUCUCUCAUGUACGAUCAAUAAAUCUCCCUAACAGAUUCCAAACAUUCAUUUUAUUCCUGUUCUCAUAUCAUGUAUGCCUACAAAUAUGGACAUGCAUGCUAAGACAUGCCCAAUACCAACUACAUAUUAGUGGCCUUUGAAAUAUGCUGCAUAAGUAUGUAGCAAUCGAUGACAGAAAGCAAUAGAUAAACAUCACAUGUAUGCAUGCAUGCAUACAUACACAUAUCUCUCUCUCUCUCUCUCUCUCUCUCUCUCUNNNNNNNNNNNNNNNNNNNNUACACACUAUCUCUCUCUCUCUCUCUCUCUCUCUCUCUCUCUCUCUCUCUCUCUCUGUGUGUGCAUGUAUUUAUGUAUGCAUUUUGUAUAUGUACCUGUAGUUCACACUUUUAAACCUGAUAUAAUCUAUUAAAUGCAUACUCAAAUCAAGCGUGCUAGAUAUAAAUAAAGAUAGAAAGUUCAUACAUGUUUCCACAUGCCAAGGAAAGCAGACUGGAAGUUACUUUGUGCUGCAGGAAAUGCACAAUGAGUUCGAUAGCCAUUACACUAUUUAUUUUCUGUAGCUUCUCAUUAUGCUCGUUUCUUUUUUCAUCACAAAUGCCUUCUCCAUCUAUCUCCAUAUCCUGUGGCCUAGCUGCCCAUUUGGAUUUCUUAUCUGGGAUCAAUUCCAGCAACCCUUCAUCAUCUAAUGUUGCAUCAAGUAACUGCCACACAACGAAAAAAACAUAUUCAACAACCAGAACCCCUGGUUCACAUGCUUGGAUGCCAAAUGUUCGGGAAAGAUGAAGAACAUCAUCUAUUGAUGCCAUGAUCCUGCAUUGCAAAUAAAAAGCUCCACCAGUUUAUUUCAUUCUGUAGUAGGUGAAGUUUCGUCGCAACAAAUUGAAGUAACAAAUGAGUAAAACAUAGUGAAUAUAGGGGGUUGUGGACAAUAAUUAUGAACCAAAUCAUGAUAAAUGCAAAAAAAAAACAACAAAAGCACAGUGAUUAAAGAUGUAGAGGUAAUGAAGAUGCUAUAAGAGGUUGCGAGAAAGUAUUGUUGGUUCAUUGCUCAUAAGAAAGAUGAGAAGUACAAAUAGAAAAUCAACUGCACAAGAUUCAACCAUAUAAAGACAACAAAAAGAAAAUCCUGUAUUUUUUUUCUUUGUUUAUAAAAAAACUCAACAUUGAUAAUGUCAAACAAGAAUUUUGCACACAAGCAUCAUUAGGUACAAAGAGUUAAGCCAGCAGUAUGCAUUCAGAAAGGAUGGCAGAUGAUCUCAGACUACUGUGGUCAAAGCAACCUGAGAAAAAUUUAAAGUUCCACACUACACACUCUCAGCAUGGUUUUCCACUUCUCUCCUUCAUCUUAAUGCCACAAUUGUUGAAACUCAUCUUCAAUUGCAGAUCCCUAAAGCAUAAUCUUAUUGGGCAACUGUUUUCACUCCCAACUUUCUUUUGGGUCCAAUUAAUGUGAUCUUAUUUUUGAGAUAUGUAUAAUAUUCUUUGUUCUUAAUAGAAUCACAAAGAGAAGGAUUCAAAACAAUGAAAGUAUAUAGCCCCAAACCUGAUGCAAGUGCCAGGUGCCAGGCAAACAUCUCAUUCAGUACACCAUUUGACCUACCAGCAGUGCAGCCCCUCAAUGCACUCAAAGUAGGAAUUAGGAAACAUAAUGAAUGAUAUCAAUUUUACUUGAAAAAUAUUAAUCCAAUUUUCUACACAGAUGAUUAUGUUUAAAAGUGUGAAGACCUCUGUAAAGUGGACUCAAAGGUUGGUCGGCAUUGCAUGGCAUAGCAUGUAUGAUGCCAUAGCCUAUGUGGCAUGUGCACAAUAACGUGACAGUUGUUGGCAUGCUACUGUGCCAAUGUACGCCAAGCAGUGGCAUGGAGCAGCAGAACACGUUACAUGUGGUGACAAUGCUAGGUCAGGGCCAAUAUUUUGAUCCUUGCCUCUAUAUAUGAACUUUGACAUGGUUCUAGUCUCAGAAUAAUCAAUCAUGAGAAUGCUUUUUGUAGGAAGAUCAAAUAGGUAUGCCUUUGUAAAGGCAUUAUAAAACAUCCAACAAGUAGCCCAAAUUUAAAACUGUAAAAAGACUACCUUUAUGAUAUCAAUAUACAAUGCUCAACAAGAUAAUCUAUAAAUCUUGCAUAUAUUGGGCGGUGAUCAAUUUGAGCAAUUGUAUGUGACAUAUCCACAGAAUCAUUUGAUAAUGUUGACAUAUGAAUAUGUAGGCACUGAGUCGAUAAUGUUGAUAAUUAAUAGUUUGUCAAGGAAUAUCAACAGUUUCACAUAUAUGUUCGUUUAAGCAUUUUAUAAAUAAGAGAUGAAAAAUCUGUUUUAUUUGUUUACACCAGACUGCCCACAAUGCUAAAUGCUUUUCUCUGAAAGCACAUAAAAUCAAAUUCAUUGCAGUAUUUUAACUCAGUCUGCUACUCGAAGAAUGUCUCUGCUGCAAACUAACCAGCUGGAGGUGAUAGUUCAUCACUUACAUAUAGAUGAGAAGCUUUUUAAGGCAGACAACCCUAGAUCUCAAAACUGUAAUUAUUGAAAAUCAAGGAUAAGGAAAUUCCAACAUCCUCAAUUUAACAUAUGGUCUGCUUAUCCCAAUUAUCAGCAACUUAGGAUAAGGUACAUUCGAUAUUCAAAAUCUUAAAACCUUGAUUUGAGACUAUAACAGAAUAGAAUAGGACUCCUAUUAUAAUAUAAAGAACAAAUUGCCAUCUAAAGAAUUGGCUAUAUAGCCACUAAAGAGAUACAGUGAAGAUUUGUGGACUGCUGCUCAAGGUUCGCAGACUCCGUACCAGAACCUAUGUCAGUUGUCGGCCUGUAUGGUACCGUACCGUAUUAACAAUAAAAAAACUUCCACCCAACGGCCAAAAAAAAAGAAAACCAAGCCGAACUGCACUGAACCGGUACCGUACCGAACCGGUACCAUACCGUACCAGACCAAACCUCCCGGCAUCUAGCGUUUCGAGCCGAUACCGUACCGAAUCAACUAGUUCGAUCCAGUUCAGACUAUUUUUCAAAAAAUCGGUCUAAACCGAACCGAUUCUCCACUGGUAUGGUAUAGUACAGAGUAUACCGGCCGGUUCGGACUAGUAUGGAAUACCAUACUGCUGCUUUUUACCCAGUUGGUAAGCAGCAAAGGUUAUAUAAAACAUGUAAUGCAAGUUUAUUCUCUAUGUAUAUUACAUAUAGGCAAAGAAAUUGUCCUGGAAAUCAAACGAAAGAGAAUAUUUGGCUUUGAAAUUAUCUUUUCCUUCUCCAAUAUGUUCUUCAAUCUAAAUUCAUUCUCGAAAUUUUGCACAGAAAAAUCCACAUGUGAUCAAGUCUCUGGUCCAUGGAAGAUUUUAGCAUCUCUUCAAGCCCCAAGCUAAUAUAGAUCAACCAAAAUAGAGAAAAAGGAAAUAAAAAUACCAAAAGAAAGAUGAAAGAGAAGAAAAAAUUGGAGAGCUUUACUAACUUAACAAUAAAAUUGAUUAAAUAUAUCCUUCUCCAUUUCUUAUUAGUACCAUUGGACUCUUAAUGCAUCAUCGAUCAUUAAAACUUCUCCAAAAACCAAAUGGCUGCGGGUGAUGGGGUAAGAUUGGCUAAAUGAAAGAAAAAAAUAAGUGAGCAAGCAGGUUCCACUAGCUAAGCAACCGACUUUUCUUCUCUUAUUUCUUUUACUUCAUCAGUUUCUUUCUUUUUCUUAUGUCUUUUUUUUCUAUUAUUCUCUUCUCUUCCAUCUUUUACUCAUUUUUCCCCUUCCUUUUCUUUCACUCUUCUAUCCAACUUCUUUAACCUCCUUGCCCUCCUUUUCCUACACCUGUAACACGACCAAUUAUGAGAGUCCUCGGUAAUUAAAUAACUAUUAGAACCAAGGUUCCAAAACUCGAUUUUGAUGCUAGAGUUUUAGUUUCAGCAAUUUUGGCAAUUUUGCUCCAAAUUUUGAAGCAAGAUUCACCGUCUUAAUAUUGGAUCCCAUAUCAAGAUCAUCCUAUUAUAGUGUUAGUACACGGUUCGAUACAAUAUCGAAAUGUCGCCUUAUUGAUAUGGUACCG